rnacentral:lncRNA from 1 species
CCCCAUCAAAGGCAUUCUUCAUUUCUAUUUAAGGUAUUGUGUUGUUAUUAUUUCUAGCAUUUUCUUCUGAUUUUUGUUGUUGUUGUUGUUGUUAGAGAUUCAGUUUCUCUGUUUAAACUACCAUCUGUCUGUUAUGGUUUACAUGUGUGGUGUCCCCCAAAAGCUCAUGUGUGAGACAAUGCAAGAAGGUUCAGAGAAGAAAUGAUUAGGUUGUGAGAGUCCUAACCCAAUCAGUACUUUAAUCCCCUGAUAGGAAUUAACGGAAGGCUGGAAGGAUGUGGCUGGAGGAGGUGGGCAUUGGGGCCACGGGUUUAUGGUAUAUAUUUUGUAUCUGGAGAGCGGAAUCUCUUUCUCUGCUUCCUGAUCAUCCUGUGAGCUGCUUCCCUCUGCCAGACUCUUCUUCCAUGAAGUUCAGCCUCACCUUGAGCCCCUAAGAAUGUAGUCUGCUGUCUAUGGAUUGACACUUCUGAAACUGUGAGUCCCCAAAUAACCUCUUCGACCUCUAUCGAUUUUCUGAUUAGGUCCUUUUAGUCACAGCAGCGAAAAAGCUGCCUAAAACCCUGUUCUUACACAUGGUCUAUUUUUUUUUUUUUUGCCAUUGGAGCCCUUAAUAUUAUCAUAGUUACUUUAAUAAUUAUGUUUUGUUAAUUAUAAUUAUUUUAAUAACUAGUUUCCUCUGUGGAUAAGGGUCUUUCAUCCUGCCUUGGCUCCUUUUUUAUUUUAAUAAGUAUGAUAACUCCAAAAUCUCCACCAUAUCUGAAUCAGGUUCUGGUACACACUUUCUCCCCUCGGGUUUUCUUUUCCUUCUUUUUUCUGUCUUUAGCAUGGUUUGCAAUUGUUAUGUUGGAGGUUGGACAUAAUGAGUCAGGAAGUGGAAAAAUGAGGAUAUAAGCCCUUAGUGUGGGGUUUUAAAUUAACUUGGCAACAAGUCAGACUGUACUUUAUGCUGCCAGAACUCUAGUUAUGGAGGCUUUAAUUUCUUUGGCUGUCCUUGUGUUUGCCUCUCUGUGGCCUUUAUCUUCUGUAAGCAGAUGUGUUGAGAGAGAAUCUAUGUCCUGCCCCUCUUUUGGCAUGAUCCUUUCUCAUUAGAUUGAAAGCUUGUGGCCAUGGUGGUAAGGACAGGGGUACCAGAAACAUUCUUUAAUUAUGAUUAAAUUUCAGUCUGUUAGUGAGCCUGGGUCACCUUAUUGUGACCACACACUGAGCCCGCGUUGCUUUAUUGCGGCCUCACGAGUGUUUCUUAACUCUCUUCUUCAGAUGGUGUAAGGGUCCGGCGAACGUCGGAGGGAGAGACCACCAAGAGACCGCGGCUCAUGCAACAGCAAAAGGGGGUUUAUUUAUUGAGGAUCCAAUCCAGAGCGCUGGGGCUCCGUGCUCACUCAAGAAAGGAGAGCAGCCCAGAGCCCAGAGCAGGGGUUGUGCAAUGCUUAAGUACACUUUUUGGGGAGGGCGGGACUUUACAUACAUCACAGUCUCCUUUAACAAAUCAUCAUACACCGCGGGAAAAUCAAACAACAAUUCUGAGACAUGAUUAGUUCAUUCAUUGGUGGGAACAGGUAGGGCGGGGGUGAUAGGUCAGUUCUAAAGCAGGGUACACAUUCAAACUGAUUGGUCCAGGCCCUGCGAUGCCUACGUGCAAGGCCACACAGGGCCCUAAGUUAUUAAACAACCAGGCGGUCAGGGGGAAUAUUUACUGGGCAGUUCGAGUAUUGUCUUAACAGCUACAGGAAUUUCAGGUUUUGCAUGUAGCAUAGGAACUUAACAAUACCUGGUCCUUUACAUUUUAACUCAGGCCUUGCAGCUGAGAAACUUUACAAUGCCUGGUCUUUUACACUUUAACUUCAAUUUCUUUUACCCUUACAAUGGGAUUAGAAAGAAAGGUGGAACAAGGUAGAGGGAGACAAAGAGUAGGUCUUUGUUAUAGCAAAUACAUGGGUGAUUCACAAAGAUCACUCCUUUCCUCCCUCCUCUGAGGUGGAACACAUCUUUCUUUUAUCAUCACGAUAAAAACAUGGCAGAACUUCUGGUGACAAAGCAGACUAACAUGGGUCCUCAGUGGUUCCUCAUCCUCACGCUAAUCUGCACUCAGCCUCUAGGAAUUCUUCAAGAUUACCAUUCCAGUUCUUCUGCUGGUUAAUGGAUCCAACAACCUCUUCUCCAGGUUGUGACUCUCUGGAUUCUUCUCUCUCUCUAGAGCCCAGGAUAGCAGCUGACCUUGUGACCUCUCUUCUCUGAUGGGUCCAAGACUAGUUACUGAUAUUCAGUUCAUUCAGUUUAUUUCCCAUGGAAAGAUUGGUAAAAAGGAUUUCCAAGCUCUUAUGUAGCAAGUUUGAGCCUGAAAGUGUCCUAUAUGCUAUUUAAAACUAAGAUUCUUAAAUAGAAUAAAUGAUUUAAAACCUAAUUGUACAUACAUAUCCUUAUCUUAUGUAUGAUACAUAACAAAUAGUAGUAUUGACUUGGCAUGGUGAUGCGCAUCUGUAAUCCCAGCUUUCUGAGAGGCUGAGGCAGAAAAAUAGCAAAUUCACGUUCAGGCUGAGCAACUUAGGGAGAACCUGUCUCAAAAAAAAAAAAAUUAAAAUUGCUGGGAGUACAACCCAGUGGUACAGUGACCCUGGGCAAUUAUGAAGUAAUGAACUAUGAACACUCACGUAUUCAAAUGGUCCGCAAUGGUCACUCCCUGCUCCUCUGAAGCUCUUCUCAACUUUACCUCCAUUGUACACAGCAUGUGUGCAGGUGUGUGCACCUAUAUCUAAGUGCACAUGCUUAAAGGAUGCCAUCAUAUUUAGCCCAUGAAUGGUAAUCAUUCAGUUUAUUUCUUAUGGUAAGAUUGAGAGAAAACUUGUCAUGUCAGCAUGAGAGUGGCCCCUCUUCCAUUAAGAGGUUUUACUUCCUAGGAAGUAAGACUUAUCCCUGCCCCAAUGGAGCAUGGAAUAGGUUUGGUCCUUGGAUAAACAAGGGAUUGAGUACCUUUUGUUAAAGCCAAAAUAAGGGCAAUUAGGUGCUAGAACCUACAAACAAAACAACAGGGAUGAUGAGGGAAAACAGAAUGGUGUUUAUCAGCACCCAAGCAAGUGAACUAAAGAAAAGAAAAUUAUACCUAUUCUGCCCAGGAUCUGGUACUCAGGUGCAUCUAUGGUGAGACAAGCAUAAUUCUUGGAUUUAAACAAAAAAUAAAAAAAUGUCCAGAACAUCCUGUCAGACAUUAUAAAACAUAACAGCAAGUAAAAUUUAUAGAGUGUUUAGUAUGUCUCAGAAUCUGCAGUUCUCAAUAUUGACCUACAUGGCCUUAAUGUCCCUCUCAGAUUGACUAACAGGUUUCUUCCUGGUGACAGGCCCUGACCUGUUUUCUUAGAGCAUUUACUUUAGAAAACUUCUAAUUGUAAAUUCUUUCUAUGCCCCCUUGGAAUGUAAAUCUCCCCACAUCUUGCUAGUUUUACAACCCAGAAAUGGCCUUUUCAAGGACUUGGGAGCCAUCCUGUGAAAUAGAAUCACAGAGGAAGUGGUGUCCCUCUCUCUCUGUCUCUGCACAAGGGUAGUAAUCGCACUCCUAUGGGCACCAAGGCCAAAGAACAGGUGGCCUGACUGACCAACCUGUCCCCUAAUGUCCUUCAGUUCUUUCCCACUAUCUCAUCCCAGCACUUGCAAAAUGUCCCAUAUUUAUGUUGCAACACAACUCACAUCAGUCCCACCCCUAUUACAUUAGACUUGAAUUGAGUCUUCUUUGCCUGAUUAACUCCAUCUGAAACUUUUUUUUUAUUUGAAAUUUAAUGUAAUUUGAAAUUUAAUGUAAUUUGAAAUUUAAUGUAAAUUGUAUCUAAAAGAGAAAAUAAGAUAGAAAAAAUAAAUUAAAAACUCAUAAUUUCCAAAACAAUGGAAUAAAUGUAACUGUAGUGAUAGAUAAAGAGGUUUUACUUCAUAGGAAGAAAGACUUGUUCAUGUGCCUUGGGCAUGUGAGAACUCAGUGCAGUUGGAAAGUGAGAGGGAGAGGUAUAGGUGAAGAUCUAGGGGUGCUAUGUGUGUUCAGGAAAUGAGAAGUUCAGGCCGGCUUGAGAUGAAUAUGCAAGGCUAAAGUAGGUUCAAAGGUCACAGGAACAUCAUGUAAGUAAUGUGAAGCAUUUGAGGAGAAAACAUCAGCCACUAGGAGACUGGCCAAAAAGUUCCUAAGAAAUAAUAUUGUUCUAAUUACAGAAAUGUCAGCUUAGAUGGAAAUUUAAGAACAGAGUCAGAUAACAUAUAUAUUAGAGGUAGAAUCAGCGUGCUGUUAUUUUAAUGAAUUUGGGCAGUAAGAAGAUAGAGGAAAGAUACCAGGACACUCCCUCUACUUUGGAGGCUGUUAUUUUGCAUGACAGGUAAAUGCUGAUGGUAUCAGGAGCUGGCUCAGGGCCCUGUUGGUGUCCUGCAUAUCCUUUCACUGUGGUCCAGACAUCAGAGGUGUGCUGUAUGUAGCACAGGAUGAAGUGAGUGGGAAACCAGUGAGAACCUUUGUGAAUUGAUGAGCGCCUUGGUGAGAACAGCUAAACCCAGGAAUUAUAACAGCAAGGUCUGGAUUCAACAGACACAUCUGCUAAUUGUUUUAAGAAAAGCAAUUAGUAACAUUGGUUGCUGGAGAAGAGAAUAAAGAUAAGCUACAUCAAUUAAAUAUCUAUGAUAUUCCAGGCAACUCUAAGCUCACACUUUUAUAACCCACAAAGUCGCUUUUGUGUUAAUACUAAAAAUUGGAAAUCGAGGUACACUGAGUCACACACUUGUAUCUGAAUCCCCGGUAGGCCACGCUGAAUGUGAAAUUUUGGGUAAGCCACUUAAUCUCUUUUAUGCCAAAGGCUUUUUCCUCCUCUCUAUAUUAUAUCAUUUCCUUUUUCUAUAUCUCUAGAGUUUCCUUUUCUCUUAAUACGAGCUCUGGGCAUAGAGGGGGGAAAAAAAAAAAGAUGUGCACUUAGAAAAUUUGACCUGGCAGCUUAAGUAAUUUGCCCAAGGUCAUUCAGUGAAUCAGUGGUAGAUAUAAGGGUAAGAAGCUAUAAUUCCUACUCUAAUUUCCUGCCUGAACCAUUAGAUAGCUCCAUCUGUUUUGAUUCCAUCAUUAAUAUGAAGUCAUAUUUCUGUCUCUUAAUAGAAAUGAACUGAUCUACUGACUAAAAGUGGAAGGUGAAAAGAAUUUCCAUAGCUUUGAAUGCAGAAGUAUUCUUAACAAAUGCAACUUUGAAGGUGGUUCUGUUAUACAGUUAAAUAAAUUUUAAGAGACUUUAUACUGCUGGUCUUUAUACUUGUGAUAAAAGAAAAACAAAGUUCUCAUUAACAUGAGUCUUAAAUGAACAUUUUUAUGCUAAAUAUUAAGUUAAGCUUUUGAUAUGUUGUGGCAACAUUUUGAAAUGAUGAAGCAUUCAUUAAUGCCUGCUUAAGUUAAAAGUAACACCACAUUAAUUUGAUCUGAUUAAUGUUCACACAAUGCACAAAGAUACAUUGAUAAUGACUGGCCACUUUUCUUAAGUGUUAACCAGCAUAUUAAUAUAUAGUAAAUGAAUUGGAUAGCCUGUGUAAUGCCACUGUUCAUUAUUAAUUCAGUUAAUUAAAUGUGUGUCAGACAAAUCAUUAAUAACUUGAUAAUUCACUUGUAUUGGAUAUUAUCAAAUCCUUUCAAUAUUAUAAAUCCAAGAGAAAGUGAAACUACAAAUUUAAAGGUUUCAUGUCUGCAAUACUUAUUUUUCAAGACUAGGCAUAAAGAAUUCCUUUAUUCGAAAGGAGGAGAUAAAUAAGGAUGUUUAGCACAUACUUGCAAACUUAAAAAUAUUAUGCAAGCAUUCACUUUUUUUAAAGUUGUAGAUGGACAAAUACCUUUAAUUUGUUGAUUUAUGUUUAUGUGGUACUGUGCUGCAGUCCGGCUGCAGCAAAAUAACGGGGGGUGAGGAACAACUUGUGUACAUUGAUACAGCAGGAGUGGAAGCCGUUUAUUGUAGGACAACAGAGGUAUUUAUACAUUCCACACAGCUUAUCUUAAUUAGCAUAAACUAGAUACAGCAGUCAACCAAUAAGAAAUCUCCACACUUAAUGGCUUGCUGGCGUUACUUCACAAACCACUCCCUCUGGCAAAAUGCCAGGCGCCAUCCUGACUUGUUUACAGACUCUAACAUUUGCCAGGCGCCAUCCUGACUUGUUUACAGACUCUAACAGUACUGAGGAUCCAACCCAGUGCCUCACAUGUGUGAAGUAAGCGCUCUACUGCUGAGCCAAAACCCCAGCCCCAUAAGCAUUCAUUAUUAUUGACAUUAAUUCAAACUUAUUUAUAUAGAUUUAAUGUCAGCUUUUUUAUAAUUCUGAGCAAAUCUUUAUAUUUCAUGUCAUUGACAUAGGUCAUCAAAUAAUUUGAAUUUUAUUUCUCCAAAUUGCUUAUCCACAUAACAUAUUCCACAUACACUCUACAUCAUUAUUUUACCUGUCAGUUGCCUUUAAAUGCUAUGUAAGUACCAGUUAGUACCAGUUGUAGAUGAAUAUAAACUUGCAGAGAGAAAAAAUGAGGAUUUGGAUUCCUUAAAAUGGUUUUCAAAAUAGGUCAAUUGCUUACUUCAUUGGAUAUUGGAAUCUAAUAUGGGGUUUGCCUACAUGAGGUAGGGGCUGGAGACGUGGGUAUUGUCAGUGCAUAGCUGCUAUUAAAAGUCUGUUGUGAAAAAGCUGCUACUGGGUUUAAUCAGAUGAGGACAGACAACAGACCAUUCAUGUCAGGGUCCACUAUGCCAUAUGUUUCUAUGGAUGUGUUUACAUUAUAAUUACAUCCCUUUUCCUGUUCUUAGAAACUAAAUAUUUUUUGGAUUAGAUUCAAAAAGGACAUGUAUGGAAUGCUAUACACAGGCUUUGAGCUCAUUACUAUAUAUCCUCCUGAGAACAGAUGGUAGACCUCAGGCCCUGUUACUACUCUAAUGUAUUCCUACCAUCCCUUGAUAUAGGGACAGCAGUAAUGGUAGAGUAAAUUUCCCAUGACUCCAAGGCAAAUGUUUAGCAGGCGAGGACAAAUUCACAUAUUUUUUCUUUUAUUUUCUUUGCAAACAUUGCAAAAAGAGUCAUCAAAGUAUCUACUAAAAAGUAUAUUCCUAUUAUGAAUACAGAAACUGUUGAAAUUACUGUAAGGCACUUCUCUUUAGAUAGAAAAUCAACACAACAGCCAAGUGAAGUUCAGGUACCUGUAAUAAUCAUUUCUCACAACAGGGCCUACCCAUGAAGUCAUGAGUUUUGUUAUCAAUGUUAUGUUCUGUUAAAAAGUGUAAUCCCAGCUUGUAUACAAAUAUGCCUCUUUGGAUUUUUGAUCUAAUACUCACAACAACAGAUUAUGAAAUGUUUCUUAUGGUUUACAAUUUGAACACAUUUAAAGUGAAGGUCCAAGUCUUCAUGUAAUGUCAGCCUUAAGCAUCUAAAUUUUUUCUUCAAAAUGAUACCAUGUACUAUAUUUUUUGCUAUGUAGCAUGAAAUAGUUAUGUAUUUUAGAGAUAUUAUUUAAAAGAAAAAAAACUCUAUUGUAGAUAUAAAAAAGUGCUUUAUAUAAAAUUUUGCAAGUGGUAAAACAACAAUAAAAGUGUAAAGUAGAAUUGAAGAGUUAAAACUAUGUUGUCACCAAAGGUUACUGAAAGACUUUAACAUAUUGGCUAGGGCAUUAUGAUUAACUAAAUGGUGCUUUGUUUUUCCAAAGCUUUAUCUGCCAUGAGAGAAGAAAAUUUCCGACUGGAGUUUGAAACAAGAAUAUAAAAUAGUGAAGUCAGAGUCGUAGCUCUGGAGCCUGACUUGAAAUGGCAGUUUGACCACCUUACUCAGACCACUUAUUAAAUGAUGAUAGAGUGAGUUGGAGGAUGUUCUCCAGAGAUACUGAAGCAGGGUCUGUAAUGAAGGCUUCCUAGGAGGAUCUGCACUUUUAACAACUUCAGCAAAUGAUGGUGAUGCAUGGUGGAGUUUGAGAGUGACCCUUCUGGAGAUGCUUAUUAUACAGCAUUGCACAUGCGGUACAAUUAAUUUAAUGGUACUCACUGAAGUGAAACUUGAAACUCAUCAGAUAAUUUUCUAUUUAUUCUAGUGUCAUACUUGAUGAGGCUCACUGCCUCUUCAUUAGUGAAUGGUUUAAACAAAUAUUUAUUUCGUGCAUAAUACGUGUCUGGCAAUGUUUUAGCCACAGAAUAAUAAAAAUGAACAAAAGAGACAAAUUUCCUGUUUUUGUGGAAGUUCCAUUUUAAUGGUGAGGAGAAAUGGAGAUAAAUACAUAGAAAACAAUGAGUUUUUGAUCAAGAUGGAUAAGACUUAUGAAGAAACUAAAAAACAGCAUUCAAGAGCCAUAACUAAACACGUCUGAAGUCCAAUAAACAGCCAAAAAAUAAACACUGGUCUGAAAGCACCAAACCAUCAUCUUUCCCUAAUCUCUAUGGCCUGCUCCCAGUGUCAAGUAAAAGAAGAUUCAUUUAUAGGUGUGCGGAUUAAACGUUAACCCUACAUCAGCAAGAGCAAGGGGCAAAAGGAGCACAAGUGGGAUGAUUUCACCCCAAGACCCUGGGGACAUUGUAACCAGGAGGUGGCAAGGCUGCCUUUGCUAAUAACAGUAGCUUUUUACCUAGACCGUCAGAAGUCCUGUGGGUGAGCCAAAGCCACAUGAUGCUCUGCAUCUUUGCCUCCGUUUGCAUCUGCCUCCUGUAAACUGCACGCUGGGUCAUGUCCCUGCUCACCUCUACAUGUUCCCAUAUUAAUUAUUUAAGGAGUGUCUAUCUAAAAACUAGUAAUAUGCGGUUAAUUAUCCCUAAAUUUACCUGGCCCGUCCCAUCCCCCUUGAAGACUGAGGCAAGGACCGCAGGGUUCUGUUUCGGUGUCCUGCAGUGGGGUCUAGACUCUCCAGUCAUCCCUCCCCUCCAGGAUCCAAACUCGGAGAGAUAAACAUCCAGAGCAACAAAUAGAGCUUUUCCCCUCAAAGGGAUCUUUAUCCCUUUUUCCUGCCAUCUAGCAGAAGCAGAACCGAGAGAAUGAUUAGCCAGACCACAGUUGGACCAGGACCACUAAGUUGAGCCUCAGGCCCCUUCCCCAGUUCUUCUCUACGUAAACCUGAAACUCCUGUCAACAUGCCAACACCCACCAUGGCCAUACUCACUAUGUUCCCUUUCCUGCUUUUCAACAUUUUCUUUUCUGCUUGGUGGCUGGACCUGCUUGGUGGGGACUACCAGAAUCAGUCCUCUGGCCUAGGACAGUAACAACAUGAGAGUUCUUGUUCUAGCACCACGCUGUAGAUGCUUUGAGACUUCCAGGAGACCAACAGAUUUCUUCAUCUAAAGAGUAGGAGCAAUGCUUCUGAACCUGUUUAGCUUAUGGUACAGCUUGUAGAAUUCAUUUUCGAUCCAGAACGACAGUCAAAAAAAGGUAAGACUUUAUUUUUCUAUCACAAAUUCUUCCUUGUCAUCAUUCAGUGGUUGGCUAAAAAUUAAUACCAGAAAUUAGUUGUUUUAACUUUUUUUUUACAGUGUUUUCUCUCUCCGCUCUGUCUCUCCUGUGUUUCCCAGUCAUCCCUGGGACAUAGCAGUUUUUAAAUAUGUGUAGCUAUUAACUGGACAAUGAUGUUCUGUGAGAAAUGCAUCCGUCUGGUCUCCUAAUGAGGUAUCCAUAGUCUGUGUCACCUCUGCUCCUUAUUGUAUGCACUCUCUGAUUUCCUACUGGUUCUCCCCCUCUUGCUCUUGCACUGUUGGUUUAUGCUGGCUUAUUAAUCAUGCACCUUGAACUCUAAAAGAUUCCCUACUUUUGAUGACAGUCCCCUUCUCAUUUGAAUAUUCUCCUUAGCCUUUAUUGAGCCAAACAGACUGGGAGACUUUACAUGCCUUCUCUGCCUUUUUUUUUUCUGGCAUUGUUUCAACUACAUUACCCACCACAGGAUGCUUACAAGAGAUUUUGCAACAAGGCUCAUCAUUUUCAGAGUCUCAUGGCAAGUGAGAGCUAGUAUUCUCAAUUCCUUACUCAAAGCAACCAUGUCUGGAAUUUUACUGCUUCCUACUGCUUGAGAAGACAUUGAUUGAAACAUCUCCUCCUAUUGGCAAUGUAUUCAGUAAUUUUUUCUAGUUCUGUUGGAUGAAGUGGGAGACUGGCUUCCUUUCCCACCUCCCAUAAAAUAGGGAAGAAAAAAAAAAAGAAAAAAACAAUGUUUUUAAACGGCCAAAACCUUAAGUCGUGUUUCCUUUGGGGUUUUGCUUUUGAUAUGCAAGAACAGGUUUUCUGUAUUCUAAAACUUUUCUCUCUCAAAAGGAUUUGUCUUUGCAGAUCAAAACUCUACUCUUCAACAAUACUUAAACACUUAAAAGUACAUAAAUGACUCUAUUCUUAUAUCUAGCUAUUUCAUUUCCCCUUUCAGACCAUAAUCCCAGGACACUUUAAUUUAAGGUAUAAUUUUAUAGAGACAGAGGCAAAUCUAUCAAAAAAACAUAUUUGUAUAUGUGUAUUUUUUUUUCUUUUUCUAACACAUUAGAUAAGGACCAAGUGAAAUAAUGUGCAUGAAAGGCUAGUCAAAGUGAUCAUGGCAUGAUCAAACAAUUAGAUCCACAGGCAUCAUUAUUGAUGAAGGGUUAUUUAUUAGAAUGGACAUGCUGUAGAGCUAGGUAGGAAUAGGGUCGUUAUUUUCAGCUCUUAUGUUAAACAGAACUUGCUUCCAGCCAAAUGUAUUAAAAAUAUUGCUCUCACCCCCAUAAAAAUCAAGAAGCAAGUUUUGGAAGUAAAAAUGCAACGAGCAGAUAGAAUUCCGUCAAUCACCAUGAUUCAGAAUGUUCCGGUUAGAGACAGGUUAAGAGAUACAGUUUCACCAUUAAAUAGUGACACGGGAAGCUAGAAUUUUAUAGAAUGUACCAGAGGGAAGCAAAGCCAUGUGUAGAAGACAACUGAUUAAAAUGUGGAGUUUUAAAGGCUGUGCCUUGAUCAGUGCAUAAACAAAAUCUAAGACCCCCCCCCCACCUCCCAGAGGGAGAUAGAUGCUGGUCCCCACAGCAAAUUACAAGAACCACACUGAAUCUUGGUGAAAGCACCUCAAAACCUUCAAACAGAAGCAUCAAAGCAAUUUGUAAAAAUAAAUUAUUCCAGACUACAAAGGAGGAACACUGAACAUAGAACCAAAACCCACUCACUACAUAGCUGUUUCAUUUUUAUAAAUAUGUUUAGAAAUGUGUGUCCUUUUCAUUUCAAACAGUGGAUACAGUCAUCUUCAGUACAUUCUUUAGCAGUUUUCAUAACAAUUUACAACUCUCAGCUAAUGUUAUGCAUAGAUAUUUGGGUGAAAGGACUCUGUCUCACUCUAAUUAAAGAUUCUUCUCACCCAACAUAGAGUAAAUCAGUUAAUUAGCAAUUGAUAUAAAAAGCAGAUAUUAGAUUAUGCAUUGUAUACCAAAACCAUAAAAUACUGAAUAAAAUAACAAAUUAAUAAUAUGCUAUAUAAACACAUAAUUACAUUAAAAAUUUUAACAGGACUCUUUUAAUGAAAUGUUACAAAUUUUACUUCAACCUCCCACGUCACAGAGUUCAGUUCAGUACUGUACAAACCUUGUUAGAGCAAAAUCCACAGAAAGUAUUUCGGCAGAGCUUUUCUUCUUCCUUCCAUCCAGAGCCCCUGCAUUUUCAUUAUCUUCCUUUGAUGAAGCUUUGAAUAGCCUGUACUUCUUCUUGAACCUUUGACCUCAUAUCCUGUAAGUGGAUAAAGUAUUAGUGCAUCAAUACUUUAUUGAAAUUCUAUAAUAAGCAACACAUGCAUUACAUUUCUUGGAUAAGAAGGAGACCAUUUGAGUAACAGGAAUUAGCACUCUAUUGAAUAUGAGAUGACAUUUGAUUCUAUGGGUCAUUCUUUAUAAAUCAAAAUUUAUUUAGUAAUAGUAAAGUAGAAGUAUGUGGGUAAGAGAUCAAUACAUAAUGUACUCUAUUCUGGCUAUAGGAGACACAAAUAGGAUUCAAUCAAUCUCAAUGAAGUUUAUUUUUCCUGAUUUAUUCUUAUUAUUUUUUUUUAAAGCAAUACCUGAAAUGUUAAUGCAAAGAGCGGGGCGGGGUGGGGGGGAUUUUAAGAAGCGAAGCCACCUCCCUGGGAAUGACUGAAUAUCUAUGACUGCGGAUGGUAAAGAUGAUUUGUUUUUCCUUGACUCAGGGUUUGCAAUGGUUACAAUAAUUAUGUAGGAAGUAUCCAGGCAUAAUAUCCUCCUUUUCCUUUCUAUCAGAUGCUUUUCAAGUUUUAAGAAACAAGCUCAAAUCCCUGUUCCUUUAAGGUGUUCAAUUUGUUUUGUCUCUUCUGACCUCUAGUGAUCACUCUGUUUUUUAAACUCCUACAUUUUAACACCACACCAUUUGCUCUUUAUUUAUUUUUAACUUUCAGUGCAUUGUAUUUAUACAUAGUACUGAGUUUCAUUUAUUUUUACAUGAAAUUUUUGGUUGUGAUAAUGUAAUAAAAUUUGGCAUGAUUUCUUCAACAUAGCUAUAACAUUUCGAAGUCCUUGAACAUGUCUUAUAUUUCUUUUUAUCUGACAUACUACCCUGAAAUAUGUGUGCUACAUGGAAGUUGCACAAUAAAUGUAUAAUAGAAAUGAUUGGCCUAUAAUAUAGAGAUAGUAUAUGGCUAGAAAUUUGGAAAUAAAUAUGUAUAGGGAAUGAUUCUUCAGAUAUUUUUGGGCAAUGCUUUCGACCUUUCUGGACAAGACACUUGUCUCUGUAUUAAUUUAGAAAAUAGCAUUAGAGUAACUGUGUUAACAAAAAUGCUAUUUCUUUGAUGACACAGCUCAAGUAUAUCAUGGAAAACUCUUCUAUAACAUCUUAAUUUAGGGAUCUCUGCAACUUAAUAAGUAGCAAAUGAAGAUCAAGCACUUGUGAAGUGCCAGGCUUCAUGCUAAGUGUUGGGCAUUCAGUCAUGUGCAAAAUAGAAUCUUUCUGGCCUUAUGAUUCUUACAGUUUAGUGAGGAAAGGAGAUAACUAAACAAACACUUGUUAUGAGUGAAAUGUGUGUAAAAUGGAAACAUAAAAGUGUUGGUCCAAGAAUAUCACUAUGAGAAAGCAUCACUUAAGCUCUGAUUGAAGAAACAGGUGGGAUUGAGCAAUAAAGGUGAAAAGAAAGAUAAUAAUAAUAUGCAGAGGAAAGAAAGUAUAGGUGUUCUAGAAGAAAUACAAGAUAAAUGUGGACUGAAUCUUAGUUCAAAAGAAGAGGGUGUGAGAGGAGAUUGACAAACCAUCCAUCAGCUGCAGUGUGUGCUGAAAUCUGCCAUGCUUCAGGCCCUCAGUGAGGCUAUAGAAACACCAAGAAUGGGAUGUACAUGUGACCUUUGGCAAGGGUUUUGUUUUAGCCAAGCUAAUAAUCUAGUAGUAAAAAUAAAAGCAACCUAAUUAUUGAUUUAGGGCAAUCCAAUUGGAUUUGUGUGUAUAUGUGUGUGUGUGUGUGUGUGUGUGUGUGUGUUACUGGACAUCUAACCCAGGGCUUCCUGUAUGCUAGGCAAGCAUUUACAACUGAAAUGCACCCCAGCCCUAGUAAGAUUCCUUCUAAAGAUGCAGUAUUAUCAAACUGAAAUACCUAUGGAACAAAUGUUAUGACUAUUGUUAAGUAUAAAAUGAAGACUAUGUCUCUAUGAAUGAUAGAGAAGGAUGCAAUAAAGGAACCUUCUUGAGUUGGGAGGUCACUGCAAGCAGCCCCAGGAAACUGAGCUUGAUGCUGAGGUAAAAUUAAAAUCAAUAACCCUGUAUGAAAAGGGGAAUGUAGAGAAAUCCCAUGUGCAUGGACAUUAGGCAGAAGGGAGAAUAAUAUUUCCAAGAAACCAAAUUUCAGGCGUUCCGACUGUAGUACAGCACACAAGUUGGAGAACGUCUCGGGAGCCAGACCAUGCAAUGUUUCUAGAUCAGACAUUUUAUAUAAUAUAAAACAUAUCUACACUUUAUAUGUAUUUGUUUUCCUUGGGCCAUGAGCAAGCCAUGCAGUAUUUUAUGCAGGAUUAAUGCAUAACCAACUUUCCUAUGGCAAACAGGUAAGUAAAAUCCUCCUAAGGAAUUGCAUUAUCUCCAGAAUGGCACAGAAAGUCCAGUGGAAAAGGACUGUAUCCAUAAUAAGAUAUUUUCUAUGAAAUCUUCCUCCCUGGGGAGGGGUCUGAGAGAGAAUAUUCUGAGAAGAGGGUGCAUCUUGGAGAGGAAAAUGUGAUGUUGCUUCUCCAGCUUCAGGGUUUCUCUGAGUGAGUCAUCUGGGAUUGUGUGUAAAUUUCAAAAGCAGCAUGGGGAAAAGGUCAUCUUUAAGAAUAGGCAUAAUUUUAAGGCAACUGCACAAAGAUACUUCUUUACCAUUACUCAUAGAGAAACACAACCUUUCCCAAGAUCAAUGAAGUCCAGGCAGCAUUGACAAUGUAGGGAAAUUGAGAACAUUAUUCCCCUGUGACAAGCCCAAGGGAGAUGGACAGACCUGAUAGAGAACCAAUUAAAGGAUAUGCAUGCUUAGUUUCUUGGAAGAAGAAAGGGCAGGUCAAGUCAGUGACCCAAGGUCCCAAUAAGUUUAGGAAGAAAUAAGGAAAGUCCCAGUAUUCUGUGUGACAGAAUCAAGAGUAUUAAAAGGAAACUGCUGUCUUGAAAGAAUUUGUAAGAUGAGGAAGCAGCUUAUGUGAAUCAGUGAUGGGAUGCUCUAGUGGGAUCUGAGAUAAUCCAGUGCUGUGUGAGCAAAGCAAGAUCACGCUGGUUCCACAGGUAUCUCUGCUGAAAAAAAGCUAUGUCUAUAAAAUGGCCUGAGGGCAGAUGCUUUUCCCUGAUGAUGUAGCACUCCUGCGAGGAGGGGCCAUACUCUGAGCAAGAAAAAUAAGCCAGGAAAUCAUGAGUGGAGUCAAGGAACAUUAGAGAACGGAAAGCAUAGUGUGAAAUAUAAUAACUAUAAUCAGUGUCUGUGUCCACCUAUCUGGAAUGUAAUAGUAUCACAUUUUCAUAUGUAAUAUGAAAUCAUAUGAUUAAAUCAGAAACAUGUGGCUGUAAUAUGAAUGAUACUUAAGAAUGAGUUUAAGAUCUUGUUAUUUACAAAGGGGUUGGUAUGAGGGAAUACUGAGGGAUAAUGCAGAGACCCUAGGUUCGGCAAAUCAAGUCAAAAGCUCUCCCAAAAUGCAAUUCCUGGGAACUAAAAGAGAGGAACUCUGGGGUGCUUGUGGCCUUGAGAGAAGCAGUGACUGGUUACAGCCAGCCUGCAGGGCAAGUGCUGGUGGGGAAGAAUUACCCCGAGCCCACUCUGUUCCUCUCCCUUCUGCUGCCUCAGACCUGGAAACUAGAGGAGAUGGUGGCCAGUGAAAGUGGGCCAUAGAAGACCGCCUUCUGGUCGACCAGGGAGAUGAAGGUGGGGUGACAACCCACAAGGGCACACCUAGGCUGCUUUUCUUUUGAGGGACAGAAACAAGGGACCUAGAGGAACUUGUAUGCUGAGAAUCCGAACUUGUACAUUUCCAAAUCUGAUUUUUUGAAGUCCAGUAUAGAAACAAUAAGUUGUAAGAAAAAAAAAUUUCAUGUUUGAAUGCCAGUGGGCAUUUUUGCUUAAAUAAUACAUUUGAGAAAGGAUGCUUGAAGAUAUGAGAUAAGUUUUAUAUUUGAAAAUUGAUCAAACUUCUGUGUGCUGGGGACAAUAACAACUGACAUGUUUGGUGCCUUUAUGUCAGGUCCUGCUCCUUCUACAUCUUAGUGGCCAUACUAGAGGAAUAUUAGAGCACUUUUUUUUUUUUGUUUCAGGUGCUGAGGAUCAAAUCCAAGUCCUCUCACAUACUGGGCAAGUCCAUUCCACUGAGAUACAUCCCCAGACACAGAGCACCUCUUAACUGUUAAGAAUCUUUGAGCAUCUAUCACUAAUGCUCCCCUUUGGAACUGGAGCUCUGACACAGUGACUGUCAUCAUAAGCAUGCUCGGCUCCUUAGACAGGAGGCAGCAGGACAAAAGAGGGGUUGCAUCUAGAUCAGGCUCAGGGAGGGCAUCAAGACAGCCUGAGCCUCCAGAGCCUGUAUAAGACAUAGGGAGGGAUAGGUAUAUCCUGUGCCCCUGGAAAGGACUAAAACCAGAGCAGGAGGAAGAAGCUGGCUGCCUAGAGGGGUCCCAUGAUUGAAAUAAGGUGAGUGUAGCCUCAGACACUGAAGUGAGCCAUAUGAGCAGGAGGAUGGAUAAUGAUGUGAUGGUUUCCUGGACAUGGCCCACACCCAUCCCCUCCUCAACUGAAGAAUGUCAACAGCUAACAAGUAGAGAAGACAAGUCAAGGGAAUGGCUAUGCAGUCUGAGAGUCAUUAGCGCAGGACCACCCAGAUCUCAUAUUAAUCCGAGAAGUUGGAAUCAACAUAGAAAGGGAGAGAAGGAAGGAAUAUAGAAUUCGUGUUCAACUCAUAAUGAGUAAAAACCAAAAAUAUGAAUGGCUUUUGACUGGAAAUGAAAGUUCUUGCUUUGACAUUUUGUUUGACCUCCAAUUGAAGCACAUUAAUUAUACUUAAAAGAAAAUGAAGAAAGCCAUAUUUUGUAUAUUCUGCUUAUAGAUCGUGAAAAACCACAUUGGCAGUUGGAUUUUAAGGCAUCCACGAGCAAAGGAUGGAUUUGGGGGCAAGUUGCAGGGCGGGUUCCUGGUUAGCAGAAGGGGAGAUAUAUUAUAUGUGCAGGAAUUCUACUAGAGACUUGUUUUGUGCUCAGUACCUGUGCAAAGAAUGUAGAAUUGGGCAGAGGAAGAAGUGGAGCUGGUUAGUAACAUGACCUCAGUAUGGGGAGUUUUAAAUUUAGGUUAGCUUUCCAAGUUUUCCCAAAUGGGCCAAAAGGAAGAAGAAAAAAAAAUCUGGACCUGUCAAUCAAUAACUAAUUGCAAGUAGUCCCAGGAAGCCUUGAGAAGCUUUGGCGUAUUGAUGUGUAUAUGACAGUAGUUUUUCUAGAACUCUAGUCAGAGUUUCCAGGACUUUUUUCCCUGGAUGAAAUUUAGGUUAGGGGGACAACUGACUGCUUCUUCCCUGUUCUCUGUUUCAGGUGUGAAGCUAGCUCAUCCCCAACAUCACUGUUCUCUGCAAUCUGUGCUAUGCUUCUCUCAUCAGAAGGAGUGGCUGUUGGUCUGGGUGGCUUGCUGUUCGUGUGACACAGACACCCAUCUCUGAGGAAUCAGAACUCCUAUUCUUUGCACAUGUCUCAGUCUGUGGCUGUACCUUCUUCUUAUUUAUUUCAAAAUGAGGCAAGGGAGUACCAAAGGAUGGGCCAAUGUAUUGCUUCCAUGGUAAGCAAAUCUGUCCAUGCGCCAAUUAUAUAAUAGGUGUUAUGGUUUGGAUGUGAGGUGUCCCCCAAAAGCUCAUGUGUGAGACAAGGCAAGAAUGUUCAGAGGAAAAAUGAUUGGGUUGUAAGAGUCUUAACCUAAUCAGUGUUUUAAUCCCCUGAUAGGGAUUAACUGAGAGGUAACUGAAGUGGUAGGGUAUGGCUGGAGGAGGUCAGAAUUAGGGUGUGGCUUUGGGUAUAUAUUUGUAUCUGGCAAGUAGAGUUUCUCUUUCUGCUUCCUGAGCACCUUGAUGUGAGUUGCUACCCUCUGUCACUCUCUACUGCCAUGAUACUCUGUCUCACCUUGAGUGUGGGGGAAAGCCAGCCUUCUAUGGACUAAGACCUCUGGAACUGUAAGUCCUCAAAUAAACUAUCCUUCUUCUUUAAUGGUGCCAGUUGGGUCCUUUAGUCCCAGAAGCAAAAAAGCUGACUUAAACAAUAAGAAUCUUAAUUCCUCUGAAUGACAGAAAAGUCAUUUCUUUCUGCCCCAAUGAAAACUAAAUGGACGCUUAGCAUGAGGAAUCUGAAGCCCUGCAGUAGGAGCUGUAGUUUUUAUUUUAAUAAAACUCUUGCUAUUUCUCUAGUGAAAGCAUUUCCCCCUGGGGAAACUAAAAAUCUCUAGACUUGCAUACUCCAGAACUAAAGGAAGAGGAAUUAUAAAUUCCCUAAAUGGGUCACUGGGAAACAGUGCUACCCAUCUUUCGCCCAAGUGGUUUCUAGAAUUAUAGAUUCUACCUAGUAGGAUCUUCCUGUCAUUUUAAGGUCAUUGUGUUAACAUGAUCAAUCUCUAAGAAAAUGCCAAACUCCUUUCAAUCAGGCAAAUAUUCUGGGUGGGAUAGAAUGUUAUAAAAUCAGUGGUCACCUGGUGAUCAAUCUAUUUGCAUAUAUUCUUUGCUAAAAAUAGAGUCGUUUUUUCCUUAUGUUAUAUUAAGUGGUAUCCAUGCUUAGACAUCAAACACUGUGAGCCCCCAUAGUAAGACUGAUCCAAACUUUGCAAAAGAAAGGCAAAUCUAUAUCCAGAAUAUUACUUUCAAAAUAUUGUUCUUCCUUCCAUGGUGAAGGGUUUCCAUAUAGUCAGCUUGUCACAAGUUGGCCUGUUGGUCUACAUGACGGCUAAGGAUGUGGCAGUGACUCAGCCUUCGUCCUUUCCUGGAGUUUGGGCUUGUGGAAGCAUCGUGAAUAAGUAUGAACCCAUGGUCUUGGAUCCACAUGAAGCUUCUGUUCUUGUCACCAUGGUUUCACAGUCCAUGCAUCCAUCAAGCCAUCACUAACCUGACCGAUGGCAGCAAGACCAGCUGAUGUCAAAAAAAGGACCUAGUCAUUCCAUGUACCUGAUCUUUUGGAUAACUCUUUAUCAUGGAGGGUCCCUGGUAGUUACUAUCAAGUAGACCAAAGAUCUACUCAUUAUGGGCUCUUUCUCACAGUUUUACUUUCACUUUUCUUCUGGAGGAUUCCUAAAAAUUCAACAUAUCUCCUUCCCAGCCUCUGAACAGAGGAACCCUUGAUCAUUCUGUACAAAUGCAGAAUCUUGGGAUGCUUCUUCUUCUUUUUUUUUUAAUACAUUGUAAAUUGUAGGAAUCAUGAAUUUCCUAAAUGUGUCACUGGGAAACAGUGCUACCCAUCUUUCCCCCAAGUGGUUUCUAGAAUUAAAGUUUCUACCUAUUAGGAUCCUCCUGUCAUUUUAAGGUCAUUGUGUUAACAUGUACAAUAUCUGAGAAAACGGCAAACUCCUUCAGUCAGACCAGCAGAUUCUGGGUGGGAUAGAAUGUUAUAAAAUCAGUGGGUCACCCGGUGAUCAAUCUGCCCACUAGAAAUUUUUAUCUUUAUCGUGGCAUUUCAAAGCCACCCCUGAGUAGGGCUGUAAUGUACUCACUAUCCAUUUUUAGGCAACCUGUCUGUAAAUCAUUCUUUCAUUGCAUGUUGUCAAAAGAUAUCUCUUUCUUAGACAUUAGAAGCAGCUGAAGAAUAAACUUUGGCACAGCAAUGCCAUGGUGUUCUGGGACAACCAUUUAUAUAAUUUCCUGAUGCUUCCUGGUCUGUGUUCUGAUGCUUGUCGUUAUGGUCUCCAAUUUGGUCUUGAGUUAUAAAAACCCAUAAUCCAAGAUAACCACUAUCCUUCUGCAUAGGAGAGAGGAGAGGGAGUUAGAUUGAGAAUUGUCAAUCCGGGAGACACAACAAGGGUGAAACUAAAAUUUAUGAAACAAAAGACACUUACGAUUGACAGAUUCUCAUGAGUUUAGUGGUGUGGUGGGUGCUGAGGGGAGAUCUGAAGGUAUGGGGUCCCUCAACCAGUGCACAGGGGAGAAAUGGUGAGUGAGAGAGAGAGGGGGGGGGGAGAGAGAGAGAGAUAGAGAGAACACAGAGGAUCUGAGAGCUAUGCCUUUAGUAAGGUCCAUCAUUAUAUCUUUGGCUUUGCCCUGAUAGUUAUAGGUAGGGUUUUAUCGUGGUUUUAGCAGUCAUUUCUUAGGACUUCAAAACACAUCAGCAUCAUUUUUUUAACGGUAUGUAGUGUGCUAGAGAUGACAUAGCUUUGCCCCAGAAAUUCAGAUACCUGUUUCAGAUUUUUCCAGUGAACUUCUGAGAAACGUGGGUCUUUCUGCAUCAUUAGUGUUUCUGCCAUCACAGUGUCUACUGAGGCACAAGGCACAAGGGGCAGUGCUGCUGGAAGAACAAUGUGAACAUACUGCAGUCUUCCUCCUAGAGACUCACUAAAACCUGGAAACCAGCCAGGAGCAGUGGCGCAAGCCUGUGAUCCCAGCAACUCUGGAGGUUUUGUCAGGAAGGAGGAUUGGUAGUUCAAAGCCAGCCUCAGCAAAAGCAAAGUGCUAAGCAACUCAGUGGGACCCUGUUUCUAAGAUAAUCCAAGAUAACCACUAUCCUUUUAUCUAAAUAAAAUACAAAAUAGGGCUGGGGAUGGGGAUGUGAUUUCAUGGCCAAGUGUCCCUGAGUUCAAUCCCUGGUACACCACCAGCCCCCAACCCCCCCCAAAAAAAAAUUGGAAGCCUUUUGUGUCUUCUAGUAUGUAGGCCAGGGGAAAACUCACAGGUGUGGUGUGGAAAUGCUGACCAGAACCUGGAGAGACCUGAUAAGAUCAGAUGCUAAAAUCAGCUUUCCCUGGCCCACAACUGAUCUUAUCAGUACUUAUGAUAAUUGGGUGUUCUUAUUUUUAACAGUUAAGCACUGUCACUUGUCUUAUGUGGUCUUAGAGUUCUCUCAUCCCCAUUAGUAUCCAUGAGACCAGUUUUAAAAAGACAUCUUUGCCAUCCCUGGUCUAGCAAGUGAAGCAACCAUGAACUUCUUGGAGAAGUUAGUGCUCUUCUCACUAGCAGAUUCUUUAUUGAUUUGGUAUGGUAUGAUGUGUCCUCUGAGUUCUCCAGAGCAUCGUUCUCUGAUUGUUUUUUCCAGCCUUAUUAAAUAGUCCUCCAACCAUGAUUAUGCCUUUGAGUCUCUUAAUCCUUUUAUACCUGUCUGCCAUGCAAAUUUUGGCAUUCUAAGUCCUUCAUGUAGUAUUUUUCUAUGCUGUAGGAACCAUCCUAGAAGCAUGUUCCCACCAUCCCUUGUAGGAUGGCUAAUUGUUAAAUCAUGUAUUCUCAGAGAGUGAUCUCAAAUCAAUUACACUCCUUUAAUCGGUCAAACAUUCUAGAAUCUGAUCCAUGCAUAGAUUUCCAAAUGUGUUUGCAUGUACUGAGUUGUUCCUAGAGCUCAUUUGAAGUAUAGCACAUGGUGGUUUCUGUCAGAUCUAGUGUGGAACCUUGCCAGAUUAUGUUAUAGAUAAACUUAAGGGAAAGUAGAGACACACCCCAAAAAAGGUGUACAUUGUCUAGUGGAGGAGGCUUAUACACUGUCUAGGAGACAAGGAAAUGCCAGUUCAUGAUAAGUUGAAUCAGUGAGUUCUUCCACAGCCACAGAAGAUUCUGGGUAACCUAAGGAGGCAGGAUUUUCAUGUGCACUUAUGUGUCUCCAUUUCAAGCAAAGUUCUGGUGUUGGUAAAGCAGAUCUCUCAGUCUGAGAAUUCAAAACUCUUUAAAGUUUUCCUGUUCUUAAAAUUAAUUCUUGGACCUGAACAUCCACUUUCCCUACCCUUUUGGAUAAAAAGAUUGAGAUAUUCUUUAUAUAUUACCAAAAAGUACUCUGGUUAUUGUAGUUGGCUUUUAGUUUCUUAUUGAACAAUCUCAGAUUUUCAUAACUCUUAGAAUUUGAAUGGAGUUUAGUAAUAGGUACAGAACUCCACUAUUUCUAUAGAAGUCUUUUCUCCACAUUGUUCAAAUAUCAGGCAUAUGUGACAGCUAAUCACAUGGAUUCCACUCCAGUUUACUGCCAUGAGUGAGAAUGUCAACAGUGUGACUUAUGCCAGGGGUUUCUUUGUUCUCUAAGCAUUGGUGAUGGUGUACAUGCUGCCAGCUGAUAAUGGAUGAUCCAGCUCUAAAACCCCUCCUUGCAUGUGUGUGCUCAGAUUCCUUGCACCAGCUUUGACAGGUUGCAUCCGGUGAACUGCCAACUCUAACAUGGCAUGUAUGGAGGCUUAUUAGGGAGAAUUCUUGGGAUAGAUACCUGUGUAUACAAAUUAAAGGAAGAGGCAUCACAGAGGAGAAGGUGAGCUGGGAUGCAGUCUCAAGGAUGCUCAGCCAACUCUGUGAGAAGAUGAUACUUUUCAGGGAAAAGAAGCCCGGCCUUUAUACUCCAAUGAAGAUCAGUCAGCAUGGAAGAGUGACUUUAAAGGAUAUGGCUCCCCCCGCCACACCCCACAAUGGAGAUAGCCCCACAACCAGGACAGUUGUGAGCUGUCUUCUAGCAGUGCUCAUAGUAGUUGAAAGAAAAAAAUCCUUUUAUUCUGAGGGUCUGGAGAAUGCAUCAUAACAUUUACUACAACUGGAAGCUAGAAAAUUUAAAAAGAAAGAAAGAAAGAUAGAAAGAACAAAUAAACAAACUAUAAUCACAACAAAAACUAAAAUCCUCAAACAGCCAUAAUGGGUUGAGAUAUAGGAGGUAUUUAUAGAUUGGAGGUCAGGUGACUUUCAAGAGCAUUUACCAUGUGAGUAAAAGAGCAAACUUCACACCCCAUUAAUAAAGUUUAUUUUGUUAUUAAGGUAAUAAUGGGGGCUUAUACAAAGUUUAAACAAGGAACUGCUCUGGUGCAGUGUUCAUUCUCCAUUUUCAUUGACUACUUUCUCUUCUAUAAGUAUACUUAUAGAAGAAAUAAUAAAAAAAUUAGUAGAAGAUCUCUAUGUCUUAGAUUAUUUAUUAUGUAAUAUCAAUAUAUUUAGAUAAACAGUAUAUGUGUAGGGACAGAAGUUCUAAAAGAUGAAUUAUAAAGUAUAUUCAAAUUAUUAUUCAAAAAACACUUCCUUUUAAUAUAUAUGAUUGGGAAUUUCACUCAUGGAUGAAAAAUUCAAAUAUUCUAAAAUUGUUUAGUGAAUUGAUAGUUGAUAAUGAACAAAUAAUCAUAUUUUUCAAAAUAAAGAGGCUUAUAUGCAAGUGCUUGGAAAAUACCAUCCAUGGUGCAGAUGAAUAAUUGCAUAAUACGUACAGGCAAUAUGUAGGUUUGUUGCCUUCUUUUCAUCUUUAUUUUCAUCUUUCUUUCCUUCCUCUCUAUUUCUUCCUUCUUCUCUUUAUUACUUCCUCUCCUUCUACCUCCUUUUCCUUUUUUUUUUCUUUUUUGGUGGUGCUGGGGAUUGAACCCAGGACCCCGAACAUGUGAGGCAAGCACUUUACCAACUGAGCUAAAUCCCCAGUCCACUACCUUCUUUUUUACCUCUGACAGAAAUCCUGUGAAGUGCCACUGAAAAUUCUGAUGUGGAAAAAUAAAUAUUUUAGGAAUCUGAGUUCUAAAUCAAGCAUCUUAGGGAUUCAGUCAGUGCUGCUGGUAAGCAGGUUAAGACUUAGAAAUAAGAAGGUGGUCAUAAGAAAUGAGCAGCUGGCUAAGUAGUUAGGAGGGAAGAUAUGGACUUCUUGUUUUACACUAUGGAUUUGAUACCAAAUGACAAACUUAUACCUAUAGUUCAAGGAUAUUUCAUAGGAUGAUAAGACAGCUGUUAACAUCAGGAAACACAGAGAUAUAGCUAAAAUUAUAAUAAUAAUACACCAAAUUAGCAUUUAUUAAUUCUUAUUAUGUUAAAACUUCAAAUUUACUAUGUAUUUAACAUUUAUCUCAUCAAUAAAGUACUAUAAAAUCUAUGUUUUACUGGAAUGUAGUGGAAUCUUAGAAUAGAUUUCUAAGUUAAUGAAAGACAGAAUAUAAAUGGGAGAUUUUAAAUUCAAACUCAGGCAUAACAGACUUCAAAGUAGUUCUCUCUCCUUAGGUGCUGUGGCAUUCUUUCUGCCUGUAUACAGGCCUCAUACACAUGGAAAAUUAAUUCCUGUAAAAACACUGUUCAGUAAAAAUUUAAAAUAUAUGGCACAGUUAAAUGCUGAUGCAAAAAAUCACUUAUUUAUGAAAAAACAAAAUUUGCUUUGUGAAUAUAAGACAAAUCCAGACUUAAACACUCAUAGCAAUGAUUAUUAAUACUGUAGCAAUGGGUGCACACAUACACACUCACAUGCACCAUACCAUGAGAUGGGAUUCUGUUAAAAUAUUUACAAACUCACUAGCGAUUUCUUCUAGUAUGUUGUCAUAAUUAUAAUAUUUGUAAAUCAAUCUCAAAACAAAGAGAUAAAUAUAACUAAGAGAAACCACUGAGAUUUAGAAAGAUGAAGACUGCAAUGAGGAUAACAAAGUGCAGUGCAGUGAGUUUGGGUGACGAUGAGAAGGCAGAGGUCAUUGAAUCUGAGGGGGCAACUCUGAGUUCAGGUCAGGAAAAAAGGGUUCUGAGCUCUACCUUUAUAAUCAAGCAACGGAGCAUCGUAACUGUGGCAGGAACUUGGCUCUGUGAAUGGCUUCAGUUUGGGACGCAUUUUUUUUUAAAAAAUGUCCUUCUAACACUGUUGGCAAUGAGGAGGCAGAAUAACCGAGAGAAUGAGAAAAUUCAUCAUAGGAAUAAAGAUGAUGGGUGAGGAAAUUGAACAUAAGAAAGUAUUUGCCCUAGAAAUUUAGUGCAGUAACAGACGGAAUAUAAUUGAAUUAUUUCUGUCAUUAAGAAAUUAACAUCUUUGUAAGCAUGAAAUUCACAGAUAAUGCAAUUUAUUCUUUUGAGCACUAAAGCAUGGACAUGUAUCCAUUUGUUAUAUUCAUUUACAUAUACACUACAGAUUUGUGACAUUUUUAUUCAACUAUGAUUUUAUUGAACAUGUUUUGUGAACUCAGUCUCAGAAGGAAUAUUAGCACACUGUAUCGAUAAGUAUUGCUACCACAAGUUACUGUCUGAUUCAUAAGUUGUUACGAUACACAUAUGGUGAAGCUUCAUUUAAAUUUUUUUUUUCUUAGAAAGCUUUUUUUGAAGACAAUUAUUUUACAUUGAAGAACUUUAUUUUUUUUCUAAUUAUUGUCAUUUAAUUUCUUUUUAGAGAUAUGGAUUUAGUAAAAUGUGAAAUUAGAUAAUUUCAGGGUGUUUGAGGUUCAAUAAUCAAGAAGUAGUAUCUACUGAACUUCAAGAAAUCCACGCUCUUUGGCCCUCAUGUGAUUGGAAGCCUAGAAGUGGCCCUUCUCUCACCAGGUAACACUCCAGGAAAGGACACCGUGGGAGGAGAUCAGGCUAUGAAAACUAAUGAAGGAAGCCAGCCCAUGCGGAAUGAGGGUGUGAGUCAUAGGUCAGCUUUCUGAUGACGGAAUUUAUAACACAGACUUUCUGAAAGAGGGGAUAAAUCACACAGAUAUAUUUUGGUGGAAAAUUCAAGGGACAGAGAAGAGUAAGAGAGAAGGUGUUCUGGGGUGUCCCUGAACAUUGUGGAGGCCUGAAUGGUUGAAGCAAGGUUAGACAUUAAUAGUGUGGAUGGGUCAAACACACACACACCAAUACAGCAUAUAUAUGUAUACACACACACACACACAAACAUAUAUAUAUAUAUAUAUAUAUAUAUAUAUACACAUGCACAUAUAUAUACACAUGCACAUAUACACCAACACAUGCUCAUGUAUACAUAUAUCCAUACGUGAUUAUGUUUAUAUACAUGCUAUAUGCAUAUUGAAUAUAACUGUUAUUACCUAUAACAUGUGUUUAGCAUCCAAAUUAUUUUGGUAAAGGGUCACACAACAACAAGGAAUGCCUAAUACACUUGAUAAAUGUGUAAAUAUUAUACACGAACAAGGAAAAAUUUCAAGGGAAUAGUUUUUUUUUUCUGUUUCAAGAAAUGCAAAACACACACACACACAUACACACAAUCCCAUCCUACUAUUUCAAGAAUUCAGACAAAUAGACAAAAAAAAAAAUACUGAGCCUCAGUGCAAUGUGCACUUCCCUUUCUGAGCCUUGGUGUGUCUCACUUGGCCUGGUCUUUUCUAGUCGAGAGUUGGCAUAUUUUCUUUUCCUUUCAGAUAGAAAACUCGAGAUAUAUGGAUUUCAGAAACUAUUUCACAGAGUCAUUCAGUUCCAUUUAUUUCAAAUACCACUGCCUCAGGAGUAAUAAAUAUGCAACUGCCUGUAGACACAAUAAAGUAUUUAAUCUUGAGCAAAAGGUUGUUGAGUUGUUAAACAUGAAAGCUACAGCAAGUGUUUCUUUGCUCUGAGGAAAAUAAAAUUUUGUUCUAGAUAUUUGUGUCAAAAAAUGAACAAAAAGAUUAAGGCCAGAUGUGGACCCAGGCAGAUGAAAAGAAUUUUUUGUCUUCUGUGAUUUUUUCCUUAAGACUGACCCAGUAAGAGUCUAUUCAAUAUAUUUCAGAAAGGAAAUUGAUUGGAAGAAAUGGAUAUGCUGCCAUGUAACUGUAUAAAUGCUAAUAUCACAUGUAUUUUAAGAUUAAAGGUUAUAAAUUGGAAUAAAAUCUAAAUAAUAGGAAUAUUAAGUAAAUAGAUUACCUCAUUCUGACUUCCUGCCAACAGGAAGAUAGACAAAUGUAAUGAAAAGCCUAAAAGAAAAACUGUUUGUGCUGAGUUUCAAAUACGGUGAACUACAACAUUACAGUCAGCAUAUUUUCUAUCCAACCUGAAAGUCCAAGGACCACGCCCCAACCUUUACUGCGUCUUUAGGAUAUUUUAUCUUCUACAACAUUUUUCAAAGAAUUUUUUUCUGCUCCUUAGUUGACUUAAUUCACUAUAAGAUGAUGAACAAUUAAUACAAGUUUUCUUCUCUCAUUCUACUCUUAUUUUUCUUUGGACUUUCUAAAUCCACAGCUCAUCCCAAUGCCAAAGCCACCAGAAAGAAGAGCAAUAAGCAGUACACCAGAGAACAUCUAUGGGACAAUGGCUAAUGAGCAUUGAAGAGAAACUUGGUCUGAGAAAAAGAUUGCCAUCGAUUGUUUUAUAAUUUAUUAUUAGGAAUAAGUCAUUAUGACAUUCCUUACACCAAAAGGUGCUGUGAUUUUUAAAUGUAUUAUAUUUAAAUAACAGCCAAAUAGGACACAGAGUAAGUAUAAGCCUAAAGGACUAACUAUUGGGACCAGAGCCCUGGUGACAUCAUUUCUGAGUCUUCAAACCACCAAGAAAGUAAGUUACAACUUCUUAAAUAUUACAUUUUGAAUUGGCUAUCAUACACAUAAUAUUAUGACAGCUGGAGGUAUUAUUAAUACUAUUGUAUGAAAACUAGAAAUAAUUACAGUAAAAUAGGACAAUAAUUAUGGUAAAAUCAUACCAUCUUCUGAAUCACAAUUAAUUUCUAAGGGAGAGAUUAGUAAUGUUAUUUUUAGAGGGUUGCUAUCUAACUAGACAGAAGCUGCUACCCACCUAUGGGAUGCAGAAAUUUGUAAAUGCUCUGGACUCUCAGGAAAAAAAAAAAUCACUUAGGAAGAUUACACUGCAUUCAGCAUCACCUCUAGCACACGCCUUCUCUAUACCAAGAAGGACAUUAGCUCCCCAGAAUGCUGUAGCAUGUGCUGGGAAUGCAGCACUUUGAAAUAAGGAGAAACUGGUGAAUGUAGCCUGAGCUGGAUUCCUUCUCCUUCUGGACAUAGAUGUUCUUCUGUGCUUCAACCGAGCAAGCGUGCAGCCCUGGGGUAUAACACCCAGGGAGUGCUGCUUUGUGGGUUCCUUCAGCUGUGGUAUUGUGGGGACCACCCAGAAGGGACCCCAUCCAUCCUUAGCAGCUUUCCUGAGCCUUGAGGUUUGGGUUUGUUACAAGCCCUGGGCUUCUGCUGUCCUGUGCUGUGUAUCUGGAAGUCAUAGCCUGCAUCCUGUGAUGUGCAUGUGCAUGUGAUUGGGCAAGUGGUAACAGCGUAGCCCAAGAUGCUGUGAGUUGAAGUGGCUGCCAGUGCACAGUGAACCUACAUCCCAUCAAGUUUAUAGAAAGAGUAAAUAUUUUUGGCUUCUUGCAGCGGGGGGUGGAGAGAGAGAGGUGUUCUGGGCAUUGAACCCAGGGACACUCAACCACUAAGCCAUUUCCCCAGCCCAUGAAAAGUACAUUUAAAAUUUUGAAAGAUCUAUAGUCUGUCUGAACUACCCAACUCUGCUAAUAUAGAAGAAAGGUACCCAUGGGCAAUACAUAAAUAAAUAAUUGCAGCUGUGUUCAAGCUAAACUUUUUUUUAUAAAAACAUUUUGUGGGUGUGCUUUAAUCUCAAGACCACAGUUUGCCUAUUCCUGUUCUGGAAAAAAAAUAUAUGUAAUAUUAUAUCAAAAAUAAAAUGAAAAUUAAGAAAAACUAAAUACAGGAAAUGUGAAAGAGAACUAUUAAUUGAUAGUCAGCCUCUAUUGUCCUUUUGAUACCUGAAAGGGUUGACUGUCAAAGUUUUUAUGAAGAAUAAGUUUCCCGUGUAUUUUGUAUUUUCCUCCAAGUAAAACCAAACUUCCAGGUAUCAGUGGAAGGAGCCACUUUAUGUAACUGUUUUGAACUGUUAGAAUUUGGGGGGUUCCUCCCCUGGAAUGGUGGAGCGACAGGGGCAGACCUGUCCUCACACCGACCCGCUAGACAAGACUAGCACUGCGGUCUGAAUGCCGGGCAGCUAAUGGUGAGGGAAGUCAAACCCUGAAGGAAGGCAGUGCUGGGGUAGGCUUGCUGCGUGGUGUCUUUAAGUUCUGUGGAGGACUGGGCACAGAAAGGACGGCUGGGACAAUGAACACAGAACUCAGGGCUUCCAGCCUGAGGACAUGGAGGGCAGCUGGGGCAGCAGACAGCACUUCUGUUACACAAUGACCAGGGGAUCAGGAAGAGGGGCAGCCAAAUGAAGGAGUUCCUCGUUCUGUCCACAAGCUAUGAGGUGUCUCUAACUUUCUUGGGAACCAUGUGUGUAAGGGAGAGAUUUCAGUCACAGAGAGAAUGAGCCUAGGAUUUGAGUAGUUGCCUAUGUGACAAAAACAGAUGUUUGCUAAAACAGGCAACAACCACAACAAAUCAACAAUUUUUGAGCCAGGCACCAUGGCACACGCCUGUAAUCCCAUUUGCUCAGGAGGCUGAGGCAGGAGGAACACAAGUUCAUAACCAGCCUCAGCAAUGGCGAGGCACUAAACAACGCAGUGAGACCCUGUCUCUAAUAAAAUACAAAACAGGGCUGGGGAUGUGGCUCAGUAGUCGAGUGCCCCUGGGUUAAAUCCCUGGUAAAAAGAUCAACAAUUUUUUAGAGAAACAUCAUCUGCACAAUUUCCAGGAUAUAAUCCAGUUAUAGUACAUAAAAAUAAUUAGGGACAUGCCACAUAUUCCAGAAAAAUAAUGCUUGAUUUAAAAAAUAAUCAAGCAGAAUAUCAUUAAGACAUGGAUGAUGUAAUAUUAGACAACUUGACCUGCUUGAUAUUUACAGCAUAUAUCCUUAGUAGCAACAGCAAAUUAAUUCCACAUAAAGAUAAAGGCAAAAAAACAAUAAAAUAGGAAAUGAACCACUAAUAUAGAAUAAUUCAAUAAGGAAAAAUUUAUUUGACUGUUAAAAAUUGACAAAAUUUAUAAACCACUAACUUGACAAAUCAAGAAAUGAGAAAGGAUGAAGACAAAUCACCAAUACAAGUAAUAAAGAGUGGGCAUCACCAAUAAAAUCCAGACAUUUAGAAUAAUAAGUCAACAUCAUGAACAACUUUCUGUCAGCAACUUCAACAUGUAGAUUAAAGAGACAAAUUCCUUAAAAAAAUACAACUUACCAAAACUGACAGGAAACAAAAAAAGACAAAAUCUGAAUAAUGUUAUAGCUAAUAAAUAAAUUUAGUCUAUUAUCGUAAACCUUUCAAACCUGAUGAUAUCAAAACCUGAUGGUGAAUUCUCUCAGGCACUUAAUGAAGUAGCAUGAAUGUUAUACAAAUCUUUCACAAAGCACAAAAAUGAGAGAACCUGUCCCAAAUCAUAAACAUAUGGAAUAAAAUCAUACCCAAGGCAUAUGAUGCCUCCAUGAACCACGAUGAAAAAUUAAUUGACAACAUUUGGGAAAGUCAAGUCAGCAAUAUGUAAAAAGGACAAGGCAUAAUAGUUGGUAGGUGUAUCACAAGACGUCAAGAUUGAGCUGUUUCCAGGAUGAAUUGAUGUAUUAAUAAAAUGAAGAAGAAAUGUACAAAUUAAGGUUAAUAAAUGCAAAGGAGGAUUCAACAAAAUUUUAGACUCAAAAUUAAAACUUGCAUUAAUUUAGUAAUAUGAGAAUUUUCCUCAACUUAAUAAAAAAUAAUUCAUGAAAAAUUUUCAGUUAGUACCACACUUAAUGUGGAAUAUUUGGUCACUUUUUCCCAAGCUGAGAACAAGAAUAAACCCCCACUUAUCAAUGCUAUGGAGAGCAGACAUAGAAAAAGGCAUGAAAUAGAAAUAAAAGCACCAAGGUAAAAAAGGAAAAAAGCAAAUUUACUGAAAAAGCGUAAAGUCUUAAGGAAUCUCUAGCACAUUUAUUGGAAAUGACUAGUAAGUUAAGAUUGAUCUCAGGACAGAAGAUGAAUUAUAUAGAAAUCUAUCACAUUUUUAUAUAUUAUUAACAAAAAACUUUAGUGAAAUUUAACAAAUUCUAUUUGUAUUCUAUACAAAAAUAUAAAGAACAUAAAAAUAAGAAAUCAUGUGCCAAGAUUUCUAUACUAAAUUUACAAAACAUUUCUGAAAUAAAUGAAGAUCUGUAUAAAUAGUGCAAAAAACCAUCAUUGUAGAUUGUAAGACUCCACAUUUUAAGUCAGUAAUCCCUCCCAAAUUGAUCUACGAAUUUAAUCUAAUGCCUAAUCAAAAUCUUGGUAAUUUUUAAUAGCAAAUGACAGUCUGAUUUUAAGAUGUAAGGUCAUAGAAAUUCAAAGCAAAAUUGAAAGAAAUAAACUUAGAGGACUUUGAUUUGCUGUUUUCACUUCUCGACAUAAAGCUGCAGUGAUCUGGAGAAUAUGUUUUUUGCAGAGGAAUCCAUCUAGACAUAGGGAAAAAAAAACAAUUCAGGAAUAGAUCCGAUUCAUGGGGUUAUCUGAUUUUCAUUUGAGGCAGAGCAAUUAAAACCUUUCCAACAAAUGAUACAGAAGUUACCUGUGCUAUGCAUGAAAAUAGUAACAGUAAUAAUAAACUUGAUACCUAUUAUACAUUCUACAAUCUUAAUUGAGAUAGAAAUAGAUGGAUAGAUAAACCCCAAAAAUUAAAAAGAAAAACUUAAGACUGUAUUUUUUUAACUUGGAAGGGUUGGUCAGCAUUUCUUAGCCCAGUCACAGAAUAGAAAAAAGGCAAUUAGACUUUGUGAAAAUUAAAAUUUUUGCUAAUAGAACAAAAAAAUGGUGAAGCUGCAGUUGAUUUAAAAAUAUUCACAAUUCUUGGUUAUUGCUCAGUGGUAAAGUGGUUUUGCCCAGUCUAUGCAAGCUCUAGGAUCAAUCCUUGGCAUUGCAAAACAAUAAAAUAAAAUAAGUAGUACUCACAAAAAUGCAUAAUUAAAACAUUAAAAAACUCAAUAAUAAAAAGGGGAAAAGAUUUGACCAGACGCAUCUCAAGUGUCAACAGUUUAAAAAAAAGGAACUACAUUGAAACAUUCACCAGAAUGGCUGAAAUAAAAAGAGAUUGACAAAAGGAAGUUUUGCAAAUACUUACAGCAACCAAAACGUCCACACACUUUGAUGUAAUUGCAAAGUUAAAUCCAAAGCUACUUUGGGAAAAAAUUUUGAGUUUUUAAUAAAACUCUACAUAUGCAUUCCCUAGGACUCAGCAGUUCUAACCCUAGGCAUAUACUCAAGAGAAAUGAAAGCCAAUGCCACAAAAAGCUGUGCAAGAAUAUAGCAUCUCCUUCUCUAAUAGCCAAGAACGAGAAACAACCACGAUCCACAGAGGGAGAACUAACAGAGUGUUAUAUUUACACAGUGAUAUACAUAUAUUUUUUUAAUCAGCAGUAAGUAAAAUGGCUCCCACAGUCCACCAAAAUGGAAGAUGGAAGAAUUUUUAAAAAUAGUCCACAAAGUGAAAGACACAUGUUUACAAAUAUAUAAACUGCUUGAUCUUGUAUUCAUAAAUUUCUUGAAUAGAUUAAUUGAUACAUAGCCGGAAUAUAUAUAUAUAUUUGCCUUUCUACUUUAUUUUCCAACUCUGAAAAUCUGAGUUAGAUAAAAUGAGUUUGGAAUGCUCUUCUGGGUAGCAGAGAUUGCAAAGGAAGGGACAAUAAGUGAUUAUUCUCACUACCUGAUGAUGCUCCACAUAUCAUUGGGGUUUACAUUAUGAAAGUGUGUGCUAAAACCCAGAGGAUGUAGUGUUGUAUACGUUUAUAACCAAAAAGAGAAAACUAAAAAAUAUCAAAAGCUUUUCAAUGAUGCACACUCUGGAAUCUGAAGGGAAAAGUAUCUUCAACUUCUUUUGAAAUGCACCAGAAAAAGCAUAGAUUUGAUGAAUGGAUGGAGAGAUGAAUAAAAUAAAUCAUAAAUCAAAUAUAGAGCAAUGUUAAUGAUAAGGUGUUAAGGGUGGAUGUAGACACGUCUGGAGCAUUCUUUCCACUAUGAAUAUUUAUAAUAAAUGACAAUAGAUAAUAAACUAAUUACUGAGCAUUUGUUUUGUGAUUUUAGUUUGUUCUCACAGCCUUGAAUUUUGUCCUUUUUCAAGACUCAGUGGAAAGGUGUUGAAUUUAUAGCAGGAGCAUCAUAGAAACUCAUGUGCAGUUGUCUAAAGCCUCUUCUAUCCAUAGCUUUUUUUUUUUUUUAAUCUUUUUUUGUGGCUGAGAACACAGUAUUGAGUUUCAUUUUCAAAAACAUAAAAGCAGUAAAUACUCAUGGUCCUGGGUCUGGUUUUUGAAUGAAAGCUGUACCACUUUUCUUACUCAAUGGUAUGCAUUGGUAUAUGGGAAGGAAGAAUAUGUUUGAAUAUGCAUUAGGGAAAUUUUAUUUUUUAAAAAAUGAAUGAGAUCAUAAAUUAGUUUCCUUUGAAAAUUCAUUUAAUUGAUACCCUUUAAAAGCUAGAUAUGAUUUUAAUUGAGGAUCAUCUGCUGACAUAAAACCACAUCAAGAUCCUCGAUUAGUGUGGUGGCAGAUGCUUAUAAUCCCAGCAACUUGGGAAACUGAGACAGGAAAAUUGCAGAUUCAAGGCCCAGUCUCAGAAAUUUAGACAGGCCCUGAGCAAUUUUCAAGACUGUUUCAAAAUUUAAAGAAAUCUCCACCCUUCAAAGUUGCAAAUAAUGAAAUAAAAUCAAGCUUUAAAGGCUACCUCAGGAGUGAUCAGGAAGGUUAUUCCACAGUGCCAUAAAGUAAUAACCAAAGUAGAUUUUGGAGUAUACUUUGCUGUUUAUACUCAGGUAUCUGCCAAAUGUCUGUUUUCAGAAAGAUAGUGCAAUUCCUUUGACUUAAAUUCCAAAUUUUGGGUCCCAGGAAAAUAAAUGGAACUGCAUUUUUAAAGAAGAAAUUACCACCUGUUCCAAUGCUGUCUGGGUUAAGCCAGUUGUUUUGAUAGAGACUCAGUCUCAUCAUUUUUCUCACAAAAUGGGGAAAAUAAUGAUCAUAAUAAAGUGUGGCUAUUGGAACUAAACUUAAUUUGAAAACUUGCUUGCAAUUUAAAAUGUAGCAUAGAUAUAAGAGAUAAUUAUUUAAAAUGGAAAAUAAAGAGAGGAACCCUUAAAGAAUUAUGAUGUCUAUCACACGUUUAAAACCAAUAUUGUGUGCCUUUUCAUAGAUGAUUUAUUUUAUGGAAUGAAUGGAACUCAUCAAUUGGGUACAUUUUCUGUAUCAUAGCAUCAGAAGUUUUGGUAAUACAAAGGCAUUCUUUAUGAUUUAUUGUAUUCAAAUGGCAUAAGCAAAAUUUAAAAUUAUUUUAAUAUAUUUUAUAUUCCUGAAACUUUGAUUAGGUUUCAAAUUACUACAACCCUUUUGAGCGACAGAGUAAAAAAUAAUUAUUGAUUAAAGGAAGCUUUGAAUGAAGUCACCAAGAAUAAAAUAUUUGAAAAAUAAAUUUAAAGAAAAAUCAUUUCUAAAAAAAUUAAUUAUUUAAAAUAAAUCUGCCUUAUUACCAAAAAAAUAAAAAAUAAAUAAAGAGAGAGAGAGAGAGAGAUUGAUUAUAGGACAUGACAAUGCAGAUAUGCUUUAUUUUCUUAACAAGCUGAAGAGCUUUUCUUUUUAAAUUUUAACUUUACAAGUUGGGAAUAAAUCCUAUGAUCUAUCAGUGUGCUAGUCAUAAAGAAAAAACUUCGCAGACAUUGUCAUAGACAAAUUGAAGUAUAAAAGACCAGGAGAUAGAGUGCUUUAUAAGUGAUCUCAGAAACAUUUCAGUGCCCUGGGAAAUGUCCCCCCCCCCCUCAUCACAGGGCUUUAACCUAUUUUCCAACCUAGAAAUUUUGAAGCUAAAAGUUCUAUCUGUGUAAUUGCAUGAACUUUUCAAACUUCCGUUUUAAAAACACUUACUUGAAGUAAGCUGUGAAGCUGCAGAGAAGUCAUCCAAGGCUGCUCACAGAUGACAGUAGUUUUAUUCCUCCUUAUCUUCAGUGGCUAAUCACUUCUGGACAGCCUGCAGAGAAGUGAAAGAGCUAUCUAAUGCCAAUUUGUGGGCUUCAUCCCACCUCUCUUCUAGUCCCAACUAAUUUCUGUACGUACCAUUUCACAUUUGUUGCAGGAAAUAGCAGCUUUGUUUCUAAAAUGAAGAUGAGUAUUAUAAUUGCCAAAUGCAUCUAAUACCAUGUAUUAGUACAACAGUACCCAUUUAGACAAUCCUUAACUAAUGUUGGUUAUCUAUUUUCUCAAAUAUUUGCCUUCUACUUUAUUUUCCAACUCUGAAAAUCUGAGUUAGGUAAAAUGAGUUUGGAAUGUCACCAUUUGAGUAAAAAAAAAUGGAAAAGGAUAAAAGAGACUUUUACUUUUGUUUUAAUAUAUUUCCCUUCUCUAAGAGGAGUCCCUCCCGAGGUUUCAGAAGCUCCAUAUUGUCUGGUAUUCGUAAACAAAUGGGAAUUAAAUGCCAGCUCUAUGCCACAUUAUAUUAGCUGAAACUAAAGUCAGUUUGAUUUUUUUCCAAUUUAGUUCAUUCUCCAUGACCCUUUGUCCUUCAGCUUGAACGAGCUGAAUGGAGUUUGUUUAGAUCAGAAAAACUUCAGGGAAACUUAAGAACAUCAGAAAAAUAAUAUAAACCUAUAACAAUUAAGCUAAUAUACUAAGUCAGUGUGAGAUAAAUUGAUAGUGUAAUAAUAGCUUGCUUGCUGUACAUCAAAUAAAUUUUAACAAAUCUAUAUAUAAUACUUCUUCACAGCUGAGAUUGCUGAUUUAUGUGACAGAGUUCUCAUGUGGCUUUCUUGGAUAUUGCAGAAAGAAAUUGUCACAAAUAAGGCUUCAGUUUCGAAGAACAAAAAUGAUUAAUAGUGUACUACAAUCAAAUUUAAAAGGGAAAAAUAUGAAACAUAUUGUGUGUAAUGAAAACCUAUCCAUUGAUGAUAAAAACAUAUUUUUUCAUGGGCUAGUUACAUCAUACUUGAUUGCAAGGCCUACUGGCUUUUAUUUGAAAGUUUCAUGGUAUUUAAUAGAUACACUGAAUAUAAAAUCAUAAAGUUCAACUAAUAUACAUUAUAUGCAGUGUAUAUUAUAUUGUUAGGGAUAGAAGUAAUAAAAUUAAUUUUAGAAAUAGUAAUUAAAUUAUUUAAUAGAUAUUCAAAAAGUGAUUCAAUUGUUAUACAUAAAACAGAUUUAAAAACCAUCAGUACUAAAGGAACCCUAAAUUGUAUUAUCUAUAUUCAAAAAUUAUUAACAAUGGAAUGUGUAUAAUUAUUUUAGACAAAUCUCUAACAAUACUAAAACUGGUAAGGAUUUCUCUUUUUCUUUCUUUAGCUAACUGAUCUAUGAUAACAGUGUCAUAGACAGGAACAUUUUUCAAUGCUUUUUCCUGUGACUAACCAUCUUUACAUUCAUAAUCUUACCCAAUGUCCUUCCAUCCUAAACAUCUGAAUUUACUGUCAUCAUGUUCCCAAGCUUUUUAGUCUUUUGAGUUUUUGAAUUAAAAUGUCACUUGCUAUUAAACAAACCUUUACAUAAGUAUAGUUAUUUAUAUUUUACAUUUCAACACAGAAAGGAUCAAAGCAAUUCAAAAAUCUGCUAAAAUUCACAUGUUAACCAAGUGCCAGUAUUGUAACUAAACCCAAGUUCACAUUCUCCAUGCCUAUUGCAUAGCAAUAUGUUUAUAAUUUUAAGCCUUUAUUUGUAGAGUAAUGAAUUUUUUUUGAAAUGGACUUUAAUUUUGACGUGACUUGGCUUUAACUUUUUAUUUUCUACGUGUUCGUUGAAAGAUAAAUGGUUAAGUAUCUUAAGGCUAUUUAAUGCCAUCUCUUCACUUAGUAUUUGUUUACUUUACUUCUAGUUAAACACAAACCCCUUCAUCAUUACUUUAGCAAUACAUUUUAUGUAAGAAUUCCAAUAGCAAUAACAACUACAGAGCUAAAGAGAAAGUUUGGCUGAUUAAAUUAGCCAAAGUGGGGAUGAUAGGCAUAGCUGGAUGUCCAACAUUAGGCAUGCAUGUGUGAACUCCUACAUUUGACCCCCAGCACCACUCAAAAAUAUUGUUCAAUUUAAAAGUCUACAUAUCAUGAAAAUAAGUACUAGUAUGGAUCCAAUAAAAUAAGUGUAAAGACAAUAGACACAAAUGCAAAAAUACAAAACAUUAUGUAUUGUAAACACUGGAUUAAAAAGAAAAAUCCAGCUAUAUGUGUAUACAGGAAAUGUAUAUUAAAUAUAAAGUUAUAAGAAAGUUCAAACCUGAAAAAUAAAAAAAAAAAGAUAUUAGGGAAAGAGUUGUUAAAAAGAACUGUAUUCUAAGUCAGAGUAGGUUAUGCUGUUACAUCCUUGUCCCUAUAUUUACCCUAGAGAAACUGCAGAAGUCAAAAGGAAGCAUACAUCUUUGUAGCUAAUGCUGCAGGUUCACAGGCACACGCCUGGGAAGAACCCUGGGGUACACAGGCUGCCCUGAUCUGGCCUGUUGGUUGCAGGGGUGGGCUGCAGAGACAAGGGCAGGCUGGAGCCGAGUGAAUCCUGAGGUAGCCCUCUCAAGAUGGUUCAGUGAAAGCUUUGAAAUUUUGCCUUGGCUUUCUCCUGACAGUGGAGAGGUUGCAGGUUCAAUCUGUAGAGACAGCCCAACCACUGGGGCUCCUGGAGAGACACGCAUGUAGGCUGAAAGCCAAGGUGGCAGCAGGAAGCAGGAUGUUGAUCCCGUGGUACAAAUUUAGUUAGACAGGAGAAGUGAGCAGUUCUCUUCUAUUUCAUGGCAGGGUGACAACAGUUAUCAGUAACAUAUUACAAAAAAACUCUGAAGAUUUAUAAUAUGUCAUUAUGUAGAUAUGCUAAUUGCCCUAAUAUGAUCAUUACACAUUGCAUAGGUGUAUUUGAAACCUUACACUAUUCCCUAUACCUAGACACUGUGUCAAUUAAAAAAAUAAAUAAAACUAAAAAUUAAAAGAAAAUAUUGCUUUAAAAAUGAACAUUUUGCUACAUUGUUGCACAUACCAAUAUGUAACAACAAAUUCCACCAUUAUAUAGAGCUAUAGUUCACCAAUAGAAAUGAGAAAUAAAUAAACUAGCAGUAAAUGAGCAUCUCUUAAAAACAAAAAGGGAAAGGAGCAGGAGGAGGAGGAGGAAGAAGAAAAUGAAUCCGGUUAGACAGAGACAUCCGAGCACCUUUCGCUACCUGCUCUACCUUUAGGUCCCAAGGCUGGUGGUCAACAACUCUGUCUUUCUGAUAUGACUUUCUUUAUAAGAACAAAGGUGAAUCUUUCAGGUGCUCCUGUUUGGAGAAAGAAAAAUUUAUUCUCAGUAACUAACAGUGGUUCUGUGGUAGCUGGAGCCCUGCAUUGUGGUUCAACGCAACCCCUCGGCUUAACUUUCUCUGAGGGACACAGACUUUCGUAAGAGCUCUACCAACACAUUUUGCUAUAAAGAAUAUAAGCAGAUGUAUACAGUGUUGUGAAUACUAUUCAAAAGAAAUACAUCAAACGAAAUGAACCAAAUGAACACUGUCCAAAAAUCAAUUUGAGUGAGCAAAAUACAAAUGCUUCAAAUACUUAAAUGGACAAGAGUGUCAGAGACGGACCCAAAUUUUUGGGGUUGGAGGUCUUCAAUGCCAGUGAUCUUCUUUCUACAAAGUUAGAAAGUUAAAUAUGAUAAGAAAAUGCAUAUUUAGAAUUAGGAAAAAAACUACCAGCAUCGCAAAAUCUGAAAAUUGUAAUACUUAGUUUACGGUUUUAUUGAGACUAACUACCUGAAUUCUACAAGUUUUAUUUCAUAAUUCUUUCUGGCUACAUAGAUUUUGACCAUAUUUUCCUCAUGAUCAUACUGUAAUGGUAUUUCCUUGUGGAAUAUAGAGAAUGAUAAUUCAGUUUUUCUUCUAACAUGGUGGUUGCAAUUGAUUCUUUAGUAUUGUAGUUUAAAAUAUGUCUUUGAGGUUUGAAGUUCUAUUAAUGAUAAUUUGGUGCUUUUUGUCAAAUUUAGUGAAACAGUUAUCAAAUCUCUUUCAUACAUGAAUGGCAAGAUUUUAUGGUUUGCCUGUAUGUGUUAGGGUUUUCAUCAUUGUGAACAAAAUCCCUAACAGGAACCAUUUAAAGAAGGAAAAAAAAAAAACUAUUUUGGAAUCAUGAUUUCUAUGGUUCCGUCCAUAGUCAGCAGGUUCCAUUGCUCUGGGCACAAGGUGAGACAAAGCAUCGUGGCCCAAGGGCACAGCAGAGGAAAGCUGCCCAUCUUAUGGGACUGAGAAGCAAAAAGGAAAAGACAGGGUAGGGGGCUGUAGGGAAGAUGAGCCUUUCCAGAGCAUAUCCCCAGUGAUUCACCUCCUCUAGCCACAACUCACAUGCCUACAGGUCCCACCCAGGUAGUCCAAACCAGGAUAGACUGAUUAGGUUACAGCUCUCAUAAUCUAAUAAUUUUUCCUCUGAAUAUUCCUGCAGUAACUCAAGAGAUUUGGCGGGACUCCUUAUAUCCAAAUCGUAACAUUUUACUCCUGGUCCCCCAAAACUCCUGUCCAAAUCACAAGGCAAAUUGCAUUUAGUCCACCUUUAAGAAUCCUCAGUCUUAACAGCUCCAGAAUUGCGCCAAAGUUGAAGUGUAUAGUCUCAUCUGUGAUUAAUCAACCCUUGACUGUGAGGCCCUGUAAUGAUCAAAGCCAAGUUACAUGUAUGGAUAUAUACAGUGACACAGAGUCAACACUGACAUUUCAAAAGGAGCAGAUAUAUAUGUCUGAGAAAAUAGGUAUAGAAAAUAAAUAAAAUACUAAUAUUCAAUCAUAUGGAGAAUUUUAAAAGAACAUUUUUAAACCAGUAAAUAAAAAUAUUCAAAUAGAAUCUAAAAUUGAAUUUUUUUUAAAUUGUAAAAAUGACAUAAAAUAUUUCAAAAGUUCAAAUACUAGAUUGACUAAAAUAAAUUUAAGUAUACCAAAUAUAUAUGAUUAGUAUAGAAUAUAAAAUUAUAUUUUAAUUUUGACAACAUAAUUUUAAUUCGUAAGAUAAUAAUGUAAUGAUAUAUUGCAUACAUUAUGCCAAGAAAAAUAUCCAUAACUGUUGCAAGGUUACAAAAAUAUAUAGAAGGAAAAUAUGAAUAAACUGAUAUAUUAGGUUCAAGCUUUAUAUUUGGGAAAAUAUAUCUCAUACUCUCAAAUAAUUGAUUUUACCAUUUCUCAGGAAUGAGAGAGAUCAUCUUAGAUAAAAUCCACCUGAAUAUUUUUUCAAGCAAGAUUGCAAGAGUGACUUAGAAAAUACAAUUCACAAAAUAAUAUCAUUUAUAUUAGUAGUAAAACUUUAUAGUGUCACAGAAUUAAACUAAAUCUAUACAAUAGCAAAAAUAUUUUAAAUUUUAGUAAAUGAUGAGGACAGUUGAGACAAUAUGAAUAAAAGAAGUAUUCCAUGAUUUUUAGUGGGAUAUCUUCAUAUUUUUUAAAGGAAAACAGCAAGUGUUUUAAAGUGUGAAAUCAAUCAGUGGAAAUCAGAGCUGUGGACAGUUGCCUUACAUAAGGUCCUAUUUCAUCCUGAGUGGUCAGUGGGAGACAGCUGGUCCAGGGUAUUAAAAGAGUUGGAAAUGACUGAGCAGGGUGGACACAGUUCACAGGGGACACUUUUCUUCAUUCUUAAAGGAAGCAACAUCCCAUAUCUUUGAAUUUAGUGAGGAUAAACUGAGAUCAAAUAUCAAAAGUACAUGAUAGUUGCAUCUAUGAUAUUCGUAUCUUAUUAGUUUUCAUAGGGGACCAUAAGGCAUUUCAUUGAAAACAUAGUAAAAUACCUGUUCACAAACUGAACUUUUUAUUUCAUUUUAUGAAUACAGUCUCUCUCAACUAACAAUUUUAUCAUGUUUUAUAAUUUACUGAUAAACAUAGCCCUUACAGUAAAUAUUUGUGGAACAAUUACUGCCAGUGAGUGAAUCUAAUUAUUAUAUCCGGUCAAAUUAAUGAUAUUUGGCACCCUUUCACAGAAGGCUGUUGAAGCACUGCUGCCUGUAUUUCGUCAUAAUGUCUUUUACAGGUAUAGUUGUGACUAAACAUACCAGCAUCUGGGUAUUUUUAUGGCAAGUAAUUAAAUACAGGCUUUGCUUAAUAUAUUUGCUACUCUCAAAUCCAUUGUGAUGGCUUCUUAGAUGUUUAUUUAGGAUGCACCUCGUUUUCUCUGUGAUGCAGUAUCAUUAUAAUCUCACUAAUUCAAAAAUCUUUGUGAAAGCCACAUGACUAGGAAUUGCAGAGUAUGAUGAAAAUAAUAAUGUAUCAUAUUCAGAAACAUAUCAGGGAAUUGGAGGAAAACUGUGAGAAAAGGACAAAUGGAUGAUAUGAGAAAGACAAUAAUAAUCUGGGAGACUUUGCAAAGCUGAAAGCAGUUUUUAUGUCUGAUGAUUAGAAUAAAUAAAUUUGGACAAAUGACUGCUCUCUUACCAUUUAUCAAGACUCUAAAAUUUCAUCUCCUUUUCCCCUGCCACCACAUUUAAAUUUUUCAAUUCCUAAAGGUUUUAAUUGACAUUCUUAAGAUUACCUUACUACCCAACUCGUGAGGGACUGGAAGUUAUGGUUACAUUGGCAUAAGAAUGCUCAUUUCAGGAAUUCAAGAGCCAAAAGUAAUGCAGGAUUGCUUUGAUUGUCCUGCAAUUCUUCAAAAAAUGGAAUUAAACUCUGUUCAUUCCCUUUCACCCCAUCACUCUGUGGUGCCUUUACUUAUCUGUCCCUGCACCUACAGUCAUCCUCCUGCCAGUCCUCAUUCUUACAUUACCUUUUGUCAUCUGUAGGUAUCGGUGUUAUGAUUUUGGGUAAGAUGGUACACUGGGUUGAAUACUGUCCCUCAAAAAUCGGUGUUUAUGUCCAAAACUUCUGAAUGUGAACUUACCUGGAAAUAGGGUCCUUGUAGACAGAACAAGAUGAAAUGAUAUAAUUCUGGAAUAGAGUCCUUUGAAGAGGGUCAUUUUGAUAUAAAUGCACCCAGAGGGAUGAUGGACAUGUGACAAUAAAGGAGCCUGUGGUUAUGCUUUCCCUGCCAAGGAAGACCAAGGGUUUUGGCAGCCACCAGAGGUAGGAUGGAGGCAAGAGCACAAGAUUUCCAGAGUCUGCAGAAGAAACUAACUUCACUGACAACUUGGUUUUAAGCUUUCAUCUCCUGAAUCACAAUGUCUUUUCUUAUGAUUUUAUUUUUUUUAAUUUAAUUUAAAUUUUUUAUUUAUAUAUGACAGCAAAUGCAUUACAAUUCUUAUUACACAUAGAGAGAACAAUUUUUCAUAUCUCUGGUUGUAUACACAGUAUAUUCACACUAAUUUGUGUCUUCAUACCUGUACUUUGGAUAAUAAUGAUCAUCACAUUCCACCAUCAUUAAUCACCCCAUGCCCCCUCCCUUCCCCUCCAACCCCUCUACCCUAACUAGAAUUCGUCUAUUCCUCCCAUGCUGCAGCUCCCUAUCCCACUAUGAAUCAGCUUCCUUAUAUCAAAUAAAGCAUUUGGCAUUUGAUUUUGGGGGAUGGCUCUUAUGUUUACACACACACACACACACACACACACACACACACACACACNUUAUCAGAAGUAAGUAUUGUGUAUGCAAAUGUGUGUGUGUGUGUGUUUCAUUUUUUGUUUGUUAGUUUGGAACUAGGGAUUAAACUGCAAGUGAAAGCAUAAGCAGAAUUGUUGUGUAUACACAUUUAGGAAAUGUCCUUAAAAGGUGGCACUUAUUUUCUUCUCCUGUUUCUCUUCCUUCUUCCCUCUUUUCCUCUUUAGUUCUUUCUUUAUAGUACUUUCUAUAUAAGAGACAGGAUAAAGUUGAUGAAUUAUCUUGGAUCAUGAAGCAGAAGCCAUUUAUUAUUCCAUCCCAGCUUAGGAAACAAUAGCAGCAGUACACAGUCCCUCAUCUCUUGCUCCUCUUGGGGUAUCCACCCUGUUCAAUUUGGAUUUGCCUCUCAAUGACUGUUCUUUCUAGGAUAACUCAUCUGGGUUGAAAUUUUGCCAAAGGAAAUUUUAUAUGUAAAAUACUUUUCUCUUGGGGUAGUGGUGUAGCUCAGUGACAGAUUGCUUGCUUAGUAUGUGCAAGGGCCUGAGUCCCCAUCCAGUACCCAAGAGUAAUAAUAAUAAUAAUAAUAAUAAUAAUAAUAACAAUAACAACAACAACAACAACAAUAAUAAUAAUAAUAAUAAUAAUAUAAUUCUUAGAUAUGGAACUAAUUAAAAUUGAAGUUAACUUUAAAAUAUAUUUUAUAAUUUGCUAUAUUUUGACUCUAAAUUACAAAAAAUUGGCAUUUUUGUUAUAAAUAUCUGGUGAAAAUAUUCACUUUGUAUUUUCAUCAACCCAUUUCAGCUUGUUCUUCUUACUUUAUUUCCCAUUUAUUAAAAACAAGGUUAUAAACCCUAUGCACGCUUGCAAUCCCAUCAUCUCAGGAGGCUGAGGCAGAAUGAUUGCAAGUUCAAAGCCAGUCUCAGCAAUGGUGAUGUGCUAAGCAUCUCAGUAAGACCUGUCUCUAAAUAAAAUACAAAAUAGGGCUGGGGAUGUGGCCCAAUGAUACCCAAUAUCAAAAUAAUAAUAAUAAUCAUUAUUAUUUGUUACAAUGUGUAUAAGGCAUGAGUUUAGAAUAUUAAUUGGGGAGAGGAGUUCUAGUUCACUUUUCUCUUAGUACUCCUGUAAUAAUUUGCUAUUCAAUUCACCAAAUUAAAAUAAAAAAUAAGAAUUCUACCUCUGUUAUGAAGUUUUUGCAAACCUUUCCUCUCAUUCAUAGUGUGACACUAGUAUUGCUGUAUGUAUAUACAUGGCUGUAUAACCAAUGUGAUACUGCAAUCUGUACAUGUGGAAAAAUGAGAAUUCAUACCCUAUUUGAAUCAAAUGUAUGAUAUGUCAAGAUCAUUAUAUUGUCUUGAGCAAUAAAUAAAUAAAUAGAUAAGGAAAAAUGGCCAGUUUUUCUCCUUCACCUUCUCCCAUUACCUGUGUGUACUGGGCUGCUAAUUCUACAUUUUUUUACUCCCUCAUUUUUCUGGGACCUUAACUGUGAACUUAAUUUCCAGACAUUUUUUCUGUAUCCACACUCUCUCUGAGAAAUUCUCAUUCAUGACUUUGAGUUUCUCCAAAAGUCACAAUUCAUAAACAUACAACAGCAAGUUUAAAAUGGAAAAGUAAAAAUGGAAAUGCAUGGUUAAGACAAACAUCCAAACUGAUCUGUACACACGUAAUUCUGCUGCUUCUAUUAGCUUUUGUAUGACCCGAAAGUUUGAAAGUUAGCACUUUUCUUGAAGUGGAAUCAUGAAUUCCAUCACAUUCUGUCAUACAUGAAUUGUACACAUAUACUUUGAAGAAAGGAAAGAGGAAAUAAUAUAUAAAAUGGUUUGAAUAAACAACUUUUAAUCACUUGGAGUCCUUCAAAAGAAACAUAAAGCAAAACUCGUGGGAAAUAACAUCAGACAUCAUUUUUAAAAUGUUCAGUUAGAAUUUAGAAACCAAGAGAAACUCACCCCUCAAUAAAUUCAUUGGAUAGAAGUUCUGACAUCUCUCCAAAUAUACACAUUUCCAAAUUAGCAAAUUUUGUAUAAAUUUAUUUUUAUUCAAUGUUUUUCUCUAUCUGACAGAUUAUAUAACUAUCAAAUCUGAGAUUCUUUCGAUGUUUCUGUAACAGUAUUAACCAGUUAAAUUUGAACAGAAUUUUAAACACAGGGCAAAGUCCAGAAAAGUCAAGUGAUAUAGAAUGCAGAGUACAUGCAGGAUUUAAUACUGCUUUCAAGAUUAAAUACAUUUAGGAGUUCUCUGUUUUUCUAAUAUCUUUCUAAUAUUUAUAAAAAUAAACACAUCUAUUUCUUUGUUUUCUUUUCAACUUUUUUUUUGCAUUUUUUAUUAGUUGCUCAAAAAUUUACAAUGAUCUUAACAUAUCAUAUAUCAUACAUUUGAUUCAAAUGGGGUAUGAAUUCUUAUUUUUCCCAUGUGUACAGAUUGCAGGAUCACAUUGGUUAUACAGCCAUGUUUAUACACACUGCCAUACUAGUGUCUGUUGUAUUCUGCUGCCCUUCCUAUCCCCUUCCUAUCCACCCUUUCUCCCCUCCCCUCCCAUCAUCUCUUUCUACCCCAUCUACUGUAACACAUUUAUCUCUCUCUUUUUUCCCCUUCCCCCUCACAUCCUCUUAUAUGUAAUUUUGUAUAACAAUGAGGGUCUCCUUCCAUGCAAUUCCCCUCUCUCUCCCAUUCCCUCCCACCUCCCGUCCCUGUUUAAUGGUCAACUUUUUUUUUAAUGCAUUAACCACAAACAUUUUAAGCACGUCAGCUUCCCUACAUACAUUCACCAGCUAUUUCAGCUAGGGUUUCCAUCAAGUAAGCAAGACAUUCAUGAGGUUUAGGAAAUCAGAGAAGUAGCAUCUUACAAAAUAAGUGGAAAAACUGUAGAAUUACAGCAUACAAAAGCAUCAGGGGAAAAGUUGCUAGUAACCCUCUUCUAGAAGUAAAAGUCAGAGCUUGCAGGAAGCUGCUAGAGUGGAAACACCAAGCUGGUGGGUGUGGUGGCUCUUUGUCCAUACUGUCUCUGGGUUCAUAUCCAAGGGUGUAAUUAAUCAACUGGGCUGAAAUCACUGAGGAGAAUUGGUUAUGGAGCAGGCAGGACAAGUGAUAGCUAACUGCAACUCUGCACCUUUCCCUUGCUUCCUUAAACAAGAGGACUUCUGAAAUGAAAUGGCUUUUUGUUUCACUUUCUUUUCCCCAAUCUCAAAAGAAUAUCUCAUGCAACUCAUCUUUACCCAGAGCCAUAUAAAAAACAACCCCCUGCUAUAUAUUUCCAUCUUGACACAGUACAAAAUUAUCCACCAGCUCUGCAGCUGCAACAUUUUCAGGGUAACCUCGGUCAUGAUUUUGACUGUAGGAACUGUCAACACUUGAAAAUCAGUUCAUUUUGUUCUCUGAUUUCACAGGUGAGGAAACAGUGCUAGAGAAGGCAAUUUCCCAAGGACACAUGGAGAGCCAAUGUCUCCACAAGUUUGUCAUUGUAACUCCCCGGGCAAGGUCCUUCCUUUUCUAACUCAGCAAUGAUCGCUUUUGCACUCAGGAAGGGGACUCUAGAUUACAUUUGCUCUCACUGUAAAACUGGAAGAGAAAAGGUUGUAAAGAAGGUAUUUUGCAGACUGUGACACUCUCCUCACUGUAAAUUUUCCUAUUAGCUUUUCUAUCUUCCAAAAACAAUGCAAAAUGCCCUCUUUUCUUCUGUCAAGCUUCCACUUAUAACAGACUGUUACAAGAAUUUUCUUUUAGAUCACUUUAAGGCAUCUCAUCAUUUUAUAUUAUCCUUGUCCAUAUUGUACCGUAUGAAUUAUUGAAGGUUAAUGCAUCUAUAUUUUGAGUGAUCAAGCUACGCCUGAUGCCUUUAAAUAUGAAGUCACUCUUUCCCCCUGGUAUAAUGAUAAAUUUACAUUAUAAUUAAUGGCCAAAGAAUUCCUUUUUAUGCCAUAUAAUGAUGGCUUCCUUCAGCUUUCCUUUGCAGACCGUAUAUAAUAAAUCACAGGGGGAAGAUCUUUACUUUUAAUAUUCACAUUUAUGUGUUUAAUGAACAUUAUUGAAUUUUUCAAGUACUUAUUGGAAUAGAGGAGAAAUAUUUGUGCACCAUUAUUUUAUUUCCAUCUGAAAGGAUGCAGCCUUCUGCUGAUGCCAAAAUGUUAAUAAUUAGCACCUCUAUUAGAAGUCAGCUCCCGGUUUUCAACAGCAUAAUGCUAAGAAGCUACGUUUCCCAAGUGAACGGAGAAUUAUACAGUUUUAUUAAAGAAGAGCUGUUCCUUUGAAUACAAUUUUAGGAAAAUCUUCAAAGGAAC